GGAAUCGAGGUAGAUCCUAAUGUCAUGCUUGGCACGCUUAAGGACAUGGUUAAGGGAACGCCAUUUAUGGCGAUCCAUUGGGCGAAGGCGCUUCUUGCCAUGAUGGUAAGGACCUAUCGACACAAUCUGCGGAGCAAAAGCUUUAUCAUCACCAGUACUAUCUCUAAGGUAAUGGGGGAUUUUGUAGAUUGAUAGUUUGGACCAUGAACUUGCUACAUCAUCUUGACCUGCCUGCUCUAGUUUUUCCUUGAUGAACACCACCCAUUCAGAUCCUGGUGAGUUUGGUUCCUCCCGUGAUUUUUCGCCAUCUUCACUGAUGACAACUUGCAAUGAUUCUGUAGGUUCCUGCUGAAGUUUGUCCUCCUGCUGCUGCUGCUGCUGGGGAAACUCUAUUGAUCGGUUCCCUGAAUUAGGAGGAGAAGAUGGAAUCCCGGAUUCCAAGGUUUCUCUGAGUUUAAGGGUGAUGAGAUACCAGCUCAAGAGCUCUUGGUUGAAUACAGCUACCAUUUCUUUAAGGGAAUGGUGUUCUGUUUCUUGUCAAUGACCUCUGGUGCUGCCAAUUCAUAGCCUGAAAUGACCUUGACGUUUUCAAUAGAAUGUAGUAAUUGACUUGAACAAAUUGUGCAGCUCAUAUGGGACCCUUUUGGGCCUCAUAACAACGCUUCCAAUCUGUAUGUAGCACGCCAAAUUAUGUUGGAAAUACCCUUAUCCUAAAAUAUGCUUAUGGCAUCAGAUCAUGAAUAAAAGUUCACAAUAAUGAGAAACUAUGGAAUCAUAUGCACUUGCAAAUUCCUACGCAUACCAUACACUAUCACCCUUUUCACCCUUUCAACUUUACUGCUUCUUUUCACCCACUCUUAAUUGCUAUUUUUACUAGAUUAACUUGCUAAAUCAUAUUCCCAACCUAUCAUAUUAUACCAAACUACUGAGAUUUUUAUGGAGAAAAAAUCACGUCUGAAACAAAGUUGUAUGAAAGAAGUAAGGUGGGUGUGAGCAGGAACAAAAGUGGGGAAAACGUGAAAGAAUUCAAAAUUUGCGAUGUCUCUCAUUGUUCAUCAAGCAUUGGAGCAUAUCCCAAUCUUAAAUUCUAAACUAUUCAGCUAAAUAACUUUACAACAGAAACAAUGAAUAUAUAACUGUAAACCUCAAUACAAAAGCAUCUUACCAAUCUUCUACUCACUAAAUAAUUUAAAAAGUGAAGAAUGUUUUUGUAAUUCCUAAUUUUUCUCUAUUUUUUUUAAUUUAUAGAUUAUUGUAAUUAUCAUAUUAAUUUGAAAGUUAGGUGGAAGACUAUAACUCUUAUAGUUAUAAUGACUUAGAUUCUCUCUUUAAAUUUACUAGUGAAUAAAUAUAUCCUUGAUUAUAGGAAAAGUUAUUACAUUGACCAUCUAUAUAUUUUUCUAUAAUUGUUGCCUAAGCUAGGUCAUACCUACCUAUAUGUAUUAAGAAAGAAACUUCAUUAUAAAGACCACGAGUAAGAUUAACAAUGUCUAUUAGUAAAUAACUCUUGAAUCUUAAUAAAGUAUCAAUGUGUCAGUAUACAAUCUUCUAUUUUUAGUGUAAAAAAGAAACAACCUCAUCAUGAAAAUUGCUAGCAGUACAAUUUUUAUUCACUUAUUAAAAGAUAUUGGGAGCAUAUAAAACUACUAUAGAAUGCAUGUUUUGAUCUUCUAUGCCUAAAUGAGAAGAGAGGAUACAGAUAUUAAAUUGGUACCCCAUAUACCCUAAAAUAUUUAUAACUUCAAAAAAGUAGUUAAACUUUUGACCUUGAUAUCAGCUUUACAGCAAACAACUUGCAGAUUUAAAUAUGAGCAUAAUUAUCCAUGGCAGGCAAGAGAAAAUGACCUCAUUCCUCAUUACCUGGUCAAGCUCUUAUAUUUCUGCUUUAAUAUUUAAACAUGUGACUGUUUUCCAGGAAUAUUAAAAGAUCUUGGUCCAUGGCUAAACUAACAAUCUCUUGCGUGAAUUUUAAGUGAAGAAAAUACCUAACUGUCACUGCUGAAUUGUAGAAGUCUGAGUAAACACUGCUAAAAAAUAAAAUACAUUCAUUUAAUACCACUACAAUAUAAAAUAUUUCUUUAUUUUCUAAUAUAAAAUUAUAAUAUAUAUUAUUAAAGUUAGUUGUUAGAUGAGAACAAAAAGUAAUCUUUUGUGGGAUCAUCAAAUUAGAAGUUGGAACAUCUAUUAUUUGAGAAAGUUACUAGCAAGCUUUUUUUUUUCUUUCAAUUUCUAGAGUUCUGCAUAAAAUAACAGGGAAUCAAAGUAUUCGCAACUUUUCAAGCAAAAUAAUGUGGAAAUCCUAAAACUAGAAUAUUCAGGGUGUAGGUAGCGUUGUUUCCAAAAACAUAAACUUCAGUGUUGUGUUUGUUUCUAGUUUUUACUGUGACAAAGAGAGAAGGACGUAAAUCUAUGUGUUUGUGGAAACAACAUAAACUUUAGUGUUCUGUGUGUUUGUUUCUAGUUUUUACAGUUGACAAAGAGAGAAAAACGCAAAUCUACGUAGCAAUUGAUGUGAGUGAAAAUGUGAGCAUAGAAGAGUGAGAAUUUACCUUUUCUUCAUCCUCCAACGUGUCAAGUGAUUUGUCGAGAAAGUUAUAGUAAAAUGUACUAGAAUGUACUCAUUUACUAUGUUGUCUUUGAAUAUUUUGAAGGAACCCACGUAAUCCUCUGUCACCUUCUUUCGCCGCAACUUAGAACCUUGUCACGGUACCAAUGGUUCCUGCGUCGCAAGAAGCUGCGGAGCAAAGCUUCAAUUUGGUGAGUGUGAGAUGGAGCUGUUGGAAUAAGGGUUUGAGUGGCUGAAUUGAUCAACGAAACGAUUCGAGUACGAGAACAUAGUGUUUAUAAAAGAGUACUAAUUAUUUCACAUGGGUUAAAUUAUAUAUUUUCCAAUGCCCUUAUUAUUUUACAAAAAUAUCACUGUCACGUUAGGCACUUAAAAGAAGUUGUAUUCCGGCACAUGGAAAAAAUUAAAAAAUUAUUUUCAGUUUAUAAAAUUAUGAAUAUUAAAUUUAUUUAUUUCUAUUUCAUAAUUUUAAAUAUUUUAAAUAUUGAUGAUUUUUCACCUAAAACUUUUUACAAUUAUAAAAGUUUGAUUUGUUUUAAUGCAAACACAAUUAUUUUUUCAUAAAUUUUUAUUUUCUAACAAUUUGACAUAAUCUAUAUUUUAUUUGCAACAAAGUUCUAAAAACAAUCUUUUAAUUACAAAUAACUAAAAUGCAUAAAUAAAAAAGUUAUAUACUUUUUAAAUAUAUUUAUAUAAAUAUAAUUUUGUGUAUUAUUUUUAUGACAACUUUUCAUAUUUCGACAAGAUUAAAUAAUUAUAUAUUUUUCAAAAAUACUAAUUAAAUGGUUGAAAAUAAUUUACAAAAUUUUAGUUAACCAAGUAACUCAUAUUUCAUUAUUCAUAAAUUUUGAAUUACAAUAUUUUAUUAUUCAUAAAUUUUAAAUUAUAAUAAUAAAUUUGUAAACUUAAAUUUCAAAUUUUUAAAAAAAAAAAAAAUCUCUCAAUUAUCGUAUCAGACACAAAUAAACUUUAUUUACAAAAUCAUUAUAAAUUACCUAAAUUCAAACAUACCCACUUUCUUCAUAUUUUUUUAUUAACUUCUCACACAUUCACGCUCUUAAUUUCUCAUAAUGUAUUUCUAAAUAUGAAAAAUAUUUUUAGAGACAAUGUUAUCAUUUCAACCAAUACCAUGAUCAUUGUGUCAAUUCUCAAAGUCAUUAUCAAAUAGGAGAUUAUAAAAUCACCUGAUCUCACAUAGCCAUGAUAUCUUUUUUUCUUUCCCUCAUUAUUGUUACAAUUAUAAACAAAAUUAAUUAUAAUUAAAAUUUCAAUUUAACUUUACGUGUGCAUCAUAUUUGUUCUUGUCGGUUGACUCGAUUGCCCUCGUGCCUCUAACGACAAUCACACGCCCGAUUCUCUCUGCCUUGGUUCGUGCUUUCCUUCGAUCGAAACACUCUGUAUCUAUAAAGACGAAGGGGGUCCUAGAGGCCGUUUGCAUUCCGACACUCAAGUCAAUACUGGGGCCAAGAAACAGAGAAAUGCGUGUAAUAGUUCUAGUCUCAAGAACUGCGUACCUUGUGGCUUUUCUUACUACCCUUUAUAUAGUUUAGGGUUUCCGCUGUUUCCGUUACCCGCAUUUAGGGUUUCUGAUGGAAUACUCUUGCGUCACUAUUACUCAAUCUUAGAGCAAUCUAGCGUGUAAGACUCCCUUACUGGAGUGCAACCUCUAAUGGAAUGGCCACCUGGGUACCAACUUGUGCACCUAAUCUCUGGAGCCAUCCGUCCUGGGGUGCCCUAACUGUUCACGGGUCAUGCAUGUACUUUGUCCUUGGAAAACGUAACUCUAACGGGCCUUAGCGCCUCCAGUUGUUCUUUACUUGUGCUGCGUCUGAAUGAUAUUACUGCUAACUGAUGUGGUUUUUGGAACCCACCUUUCGUGGUCCAAUUCAACUGUUUGACUCGCCGAUGUCCGAUGUUACAUCGAUCUCACUCUGUUGCCGAGGACACAUCGGCCUCACUCUGGUGAUCGACAUCCGACCACUAGUCGGCACCCUGACCCGUGCCACUUGUGAGACACUGGUUCAUACCGCUUGUAAGACCCAGCUUACGCAGCCCACCAUUACUGCAGUCAACAAUGUUCGAUGACUGGUCAGUACAAUAUUAAAUUAAUAACGUAUAAAAAAAUUGUCUAUUGAUUUAAACAAUUUUGUUUGAAAACAUAAUAUAUUCAUCAUUACAAUAAAUGUAUAUAUCUCGUCAUACAUUUUACUUUCUCAAAAUAUGCAACAUCAUAUUUCUUUAACAAUACUUUUUUUAUCAGUGUGUUUUAAAUUUUAUUUAAAUUUUAAAAAUAUUGUACAAGAAGCCUACUCGUUUGAAGCAAAUUUAUUUUAUAAAAAAAAUCUCCAUUUUUUCCGUAACAAGGAAGAUAAUGUAAUUCGGUGAUAUUUAAUUAGUAUUUUUCAUGUUAGGAAUUUGAUGGAUUUUGUGCAACUUUUUAAUAGAAUGUAUAAGUGUUGUACUUAUAAAAUAAUCUUAUCCAAAUCAUGCCUUCCUAUUUUUUAAUUAUACUAGUUCAUAUAGUUCCUUCUACUUGGGAAACCAUAUAGCCAUUUUUAUGCAGAAAGAAUGUAUUUAAGAUGAAAUUUUUCUAAACUAAUAGAUAGAUCGCUGUCUCCGUAUUAUUAAAUAGUGUAAUUGUAGUUUUGAGUAUAUCAUUCAAACAUAAAAUAAAAUAAAAAACAACUAUGAAGACAAUGUCAGUGAACAAAGGAUUAGUACAACAUAUCAUAAAAUUCCACAACAUUGAUUUUAUUUCUUUAUAUUUUUUUAGUUUUUAUAUUAAUUAUUAUAAUUUUAAAUUUAUAUAAAAAUUUAUGGAAUUCUUUUAACUCUUAUGAAUUCAUGAAAUUCUUUACAAUGUUUUAAAUUCUUACAAAAUAUUUACAUAUAGUGAUAUUCAACUAGAAUAAUUAGAUUUCCUAAGGCCAUAAAAAAAUACACAAUUGCAUUUAAUUGAGAUUUUUUACAAGUUAUAAAAAGUAAGAUGACAUAAAAAAAUUAUACAAACUUUAAUGGAUUAAUUUUAAAAUUUUUAUUAAAUUUCAUCAUUUAGCACUCAUCAAUCAAACUCAUUGAAUCCCUUAAGAAUUUUUUUAGACCUUCAUUCUUUUCCGUCAAUUAUCAAUCCUCAUCAUUUGACAUUACAAAAUAAUAAAACUCAACAAUAGAAACUAUCAAUCCUCAUCAUUUGACAUUACAAAAUAAUAAAACUCAUUUUCAAACAUUGUUGAAAUCCAAUAAUAAUAGAAACGAAAAAAAUGUUAUUAUAAUAACUAGUACAACAAAUUAUGAAAUUUAAAAAACCACUUAUUAAAAGAUUUAACACUUUAUAUUAAUCUUACUUCUUUUCAAUCCAAGUUUUAUAAUUUUUAAUUAUUUUUCAUAAACUCCUGUAAUUUUGAAUAUUCUCUAAAAACUUAAAAUUAUUUCCAAUCUCAUUAUUACAAACAAUAACUUUCAAAAUUCUAAAUUUUUACUAUAUGCAUACAUUAUAAUGUAAACUAAAAAAAUCUUAAGCAUAAAUAAAACUUCUAAAACAUCAAUAACUCCGAACAUUCAUGAGAAGUGACAAAAUUUGCCAAAAAAAGUAAAAAACUAUGUCAAAUGAUCUUUUAAAAUCUUAAUUCAAUGCACCACCUUAUAUUCAAUCCAAUACAACCUUAAAAUUGAAUACAGGCUUCCAGCAAGGCAUCAUAACAAGUUGGUAUUACCUUUCAAGCUUUCAAAAAAGAGAAAAAAAAUGAAUAUAAAAAAUGGGUGAAAUCAGACUCAGCAGAGACCUUCAUAAAAGUUACGUGUUACCAACGUAUGCAAGAGUAGCUUUCUCCAUUUGAUCAAUGCAAAUUCUUGUUGCUGAAGGCCAGCAGUCAUGUAUUCACUACUGGGUAGUAAAUUCCUCCGAUGUACAAUGGUUAACAUCCCUGUUUAGUUUUGCUCGGAAUGUGUAGAGACUUGCAUACCUAUCACUUUGGUGUCAUGCUUUCUCUUACUUCUACUGCGCCGGGAUCUAGGCGUUUUAGUCCUUGUAGAGGGCUUGUUUGUCUGCUCUUGUGUACCAAUCAACACUUUGUCAUUAUUAGAUGGGAGCUCAGGAGGAGUAUCUGGCCAUGGAGUGCGUUUUGAUGGGAUAGUGAUGUCCAAAGGAGGGUCAAUUAUCCAUCUGCAUAAAGUCAUAGAGUUGAAUCAUUUAGUCAGUUAGGGAUAUGGACAGAAAAUAUGCUAAAAAUUAUUAUGCUUAAUCUUGGGGAUACAUAAAUACAUGCACUAUCUGUCGGAUGCCACAUCAUAACUUACAACCAGAAAAAUCUGCAUGAUAUGUGCCGAAAUAAACAACUCCAUCAUUUCCGGAGAAAUUUUAGGGUCAAACAGGUUUUUGAAUACAUUUCCAGUUUUUGUUUCUUAAUUUUACACAAAACUACACAGGUCAUGUUAUUUUUACAGUACUUUCUGUACUAGUCAAACGACAAAGAUAUUUCGGUAAUUGUUUGGGAAAACAGUAUAUUCAUAUACAAUGAUAAUUCACAUAUUAGACGAAUAGCUUUAGUUUAUCCUGGGAAGAACAAAUUUCAGAAGCCAGAAAAGAAAAGAAGACAAAGAAAAUAUGGUGCCGCUUUAAACAACGCAUGUUAUUGCUUUCGUGUGAUGUCCUGAAAUGUUAAGUUUUCAGGUUGCGCCAAUGGUGGAACCAAAGUCUCAAUGUUCCUUUUUCCAGUUAUUGAUUACGUAACCUUUGGACAGUUCUUAAAUCUAAGGAUACAAAGAUCCCAAUCGAGGCAUUCCCAACAAAUGCUUGAGAUGUCAUUGACAAGAAGGAAUCCGACUAAUAGACGUUAACCAACAAUUACAAUCUAACAAACCAGAGCAUUGUAGCUUAGUCGUACUUUAAAUGAUUUUGAUACCUUCCUAAGAAUUGGAUUUUAAACUUAAUCCAACCUUACAAAAUCUGUUUGUAAGGUGAGAUUUACACCUACUCAUAUUUUUAUUUUUAGAAGAUGACAAGAUGCCUGUAAUGGAAACUCUCUCUCAACCAUGCUUCCCUGUUUCAACACUUAUAUUUAGUAACGCCUUGAAGACAACCAACACCUACAGAGAGAGUAUUCUAGACUAUCUAAAAGAUUAUCCCCUGUAUAAGACAAGCAAGAAGAAAAAAGAAGCAAACUUUGUGCCCAAUGACAUUGAGUCUUUCAGUUUCUCACUAUACCCAGUGAGAUACGUUUCAAACCAGGAUGAGAAAUCUUAACAAAUAUGAUAAUAUAGAAAAUCUAUAAAAAUUCUGGCACCAACUUGGCAGCAGUUUACCUUCUACGCUACAUUCUGCUUACCUCAGUCUUGCCUGUAUCAUAUUAGCUGGUGAUUCAGUAGAAUUUAAUUAAGCCAUAAAAUUACUGAUCGUCGUAGAAAACAAGUCUACACUCUACAUCAAUCUAUGCCCAAAUAUCAAUGCAAGAUGCAGCUAUUCCUAAUAGGAUAAUUCUAUGCACAGAAAUAUAGGUUCGCAUUAAGCACAAAACUGGUAAUAGGCAUUGUUCUUUGGGUUUGACAUCCUAACAAACACAUUUAAAUCUCUCAAAUGUUCAAAAUUGAAAAAUAUCCCAGAUAUCAUGCCGAAAAUUAAAAAAAAGAAUGCCAGACAGCACAUGGAAAUUGCAACUUAAGACCAUCAGAAAUGAAAACUCCAAAAUGAAGGAGAGUACUCACUGAGAAGGAAAUUUGCUGUCUGUGCGGGCUUCAACGCGUAGCCACCAAAGCAAAACGUGACGUCCACAGUUCCCAAGCGGCUCUACCAUGGACGUGCUCUUGAGCAAGGACAAUGGACUCUCUAUCCCUUCAUCAACCCCAUCCAAUUCAUCAAGAUCCUUAACCCACUCUGGCUUAUCAUCAACAUCCUUCCAAACCAACCUGGAAUUCAACACAAACCCAGACCACUCGAGCUUUGUUGGCAGCACAGGUGCCUUAUCAUCAAUAUAAACCGCACUCCUCCCUGUAUAACGCAGUGAAUUGAAGGUGUGCCACCCAACCAACUUAUCCGUGGCAUUACAAGCAGGACCCUGCACAGGCAUAACCGCACCUUCCUCCUCCAUUUGAACCAUGGAUGAAGAGUCAUCCGAAUGAAGCAAUAUUCCAACCGAAACAGCUCCAAUCCAUUUCACAUUCUGUGCUUCAUCAAACAACUCCAUACUAUGCAUAUUACUAUCAUCAGCAAACACCACAACUCCAUCCAGCUUCUCUUUUCUCACAACUCUGUUCAAAAUUAACCGAAUGUAAGUAACUCUUCAUGAUGCAUUUUCACUGUAUUCUGUGAUUAUGUCUCGCGCACUAACAAAAACAACACUCCAUAAAGUUUCUACACUCAACAUAACAAUAAUAACAUCAAUCGAGUAAAAGGAGGUAGCAAAAGUUAACCUCAAAGCAUGAAGUCGCAUCCGAGACUCGAGUUUAUGCCUAGCAUCCCACGAAUUCGGCAUUCGUUCAGAAAAGCCAACGUGGAAAGUUCUGAGGCCAGACUUGGCAAUAAUCGAGGCGGUUUCGUUGGUGACUCCGCCGGCCUCCACCACGAUCCACACCAGAUCGUACGGAACCAGCAUCAGCGCGUGCAUCACACCCGUCAAGUGCAGCGUCUGGAACGUACGAACAUACGUCGGCGUCACCGCGAUCACCGUCCUAGGGUUCUUCACUCCGAACAGCGACCUCUGCUCCCUCUGCACCCGCUCGAUUAUGCGGUGCGCCUUCAUCACCUCCACGGGAUCCGGGUGCGGCCAAGGCCGGAUUCGGAUCCCGUGCCGCCCGACCACCACACGGCUCGCGGUGCUCACAGCCGCCGUCCGGUUCGCCGCCGGAGGAACGUUAAGCGGGGCCUCGAUUUCAGUUCCGCCGCGGAAGGGAGCGGUGUAGAGGCUGGUGGAGAACAGGAAGAAGAAGACUAGGCGGGAGAAGCGGAAGCCAAGGACGAGACUGACGAGGCAGCAUAGACCGUGGAUUAGCAGCCAGAAAAUCGCCGCCGGUGACUUGACCGCGCCGUCGCCGGACGAAUCGAGCUGCGCGGAUCCUCUGAAGCUGUUGGGGCGGCGCGUGAGGUAGCUCUGCUGCAACGCGGAGAGCUUCAUUUUGUCCCUGUCUCUAAGUCAAAGAAAGAAUGUUUGUGACUUCAAGUGCCAACACUUACACUAUUAUAUGUUUUGAUUUCAUUUUAUGAUUCAAGUUCAUAAUAGAUAAGUAAGAGGCUUGUCGGUUAGAGAUGGUGGUUGGUUUUCCUUGCUGGUGGCUUUAGGUUGGUGCCUCUCUCUCAUUUAAUCAUUCAUCAUUUCUUUGGGUUUAAGGAUAAACCGCUUCCUUUUCUUCCUUUUUCUUAUUUUAAUUAUUCCAAUUCGGACACAAUUAAUUCUAAAUAACUAAAAACACAAAUGCUACAAUUCACCACACUCUUCGCGUGGUAUAUGGUCAACGUUAUAACUUCAUCCUAAGGUUAUUUUCAAAACUAUGUUGAGCACAAUCCAAGCAACUCAAAACUAAUAAACAAACAAAAUUUAUGGAUAAAAAUAACAGCUAGCCACAUUCAAAUUAAUUACUUGUUUCUAUUUCCGUUUCUUAUAGGAACCAAAUGUUUGGAACUCUUUGUCUUUUAUCUGAUCUUUUUUGUUUUCUUGCUAUAAUGUGUAUCCAACACCCUAACUGAAAGCUUCCCUGCAUUUUCACUCAACUUCCAUUUCUUACAAUUACAAGUUCUGGAAAUUUCCCUAUUUUUUGUUCUUUCCAAAUUCACGAUCUUCAUGUAAAUUGCAACCCUUGUUCUGAAAUUAGGAGUGGUAGUGGUAAAGGGUUAGUUGAAUUGGAAGAGAAGCAGUAGAAUGUCAAAAUCUGCUAAAGCUAUAACGUUAGACAUCUAAAUCAAAACGAUUAUGUCGUGUCUCUCUAUGUUUUCCAUGUUGGUGUGAUCCAAUAAUUAUUCCAUACGCAUAACUUUAUCCUUCAAACUUCUAACACUUUCACAAACGUCACGUUGCGAUUUACACAUCUCUACUCUUUUCGUAUUUCCCUUUUCCCACUGUAAUUUUUGUGUCAGUUCUUAAUAUGGGUUCCAAAUUCCACGGAAAGGUUUGCGCAAUGAAAACAAAAUUUUACCUUAGCCUAAUUUUGCCAUCUUCUUACACGUAAUCAUGCAAUGACGUUUCAUUGGCUUUCAAAAUUGGAAGAUGAAAACAACAAAUGUGGUUGGUAAGUUGUGAUAUGUCAAAAUCAUUGGUAGCCACAACAAUAUGCUUGCAAACUAAGAAAUUCUUCUUACCUCUUAUGAACUCCUCAUAUAAAUAAAAACCCGUCUUCUUAUUAGCUACUUCACUUGAUUACUACAUUUCACCAUUAAUUCAUGCAUGUACCAUUAUAUAGUUGUUUAGUUGUGGUGCCUUUGAAUGAGAAUAAUAUAGGUCAUAAGAAAAAAAUUGAAGGAUGAGGAUAUUGGGUAUGAAGCAAAGAUCAAUUGGGUUUGGUGAAAUCAUUGAACUCAAUCAUUAGGUUCUUUUAUAAUUUUUAUUUAAAAAAUCAUUAUACUUAUAAUUGGUGUGCAACAUGAUAGAAUGAAAACUUAAUAAUUGCAAGCGUAGAUGUAGGUUGCAAUUGAUGACUGAACAUGUUAAAUCUUAUAUUGUUUAUUUUUCUACAGUUGAUUCGUGAUUAUAUGUGUUGCUUUCCUACGUUUUUUUAUAAGGAUAAUCUCAACAAUAAUUAGUAAGAAAAUCAUAAGCCUAUAAUCCCACUAAAAGUCUCUAAGUUUUAUUUCUUUCAAUCUAUUUAAUUUAAUAUAUUAUCUGCUAAACAUAUUAAUAGGCUGAAUUAAUUUAAUUUUUCCUAAAUUUGUCGGUCAAUUUUUUAUUUAUUUAUUUUAUGAAUAAUUAAACUUUAUCGAUAUAUAUAAUUGAUUACUUUACUUAGAUCUCUUUUCUGUAUUAUAUUUAGGAAAAUCAAAUAUAAUAUUACUUAAAUUAAUAACUUACGAGUGAGCAUAGUUUUCAAGAGGUCCUGAACCAAAUUAAUUAAUGCAUGAGUUAACAGUUUUAAAUAUAAACAAUAUUCAGCUCAAUUAACUAAAGUAAAAUAAAAAAAUAUGAAAUUUCUUCUUUAGUGUUAACUAAAUAUAUAUUAACUGGAAGUUGAAUGGAGUGCAUUGAUUGUAAAAGUGAUUGAGUGUUGAAAAUUAAAAAGAAAAUCUGUUAUUGCAUAGAAUAUUAAACUUUGAAUAGACAUUAAAUUUAGCAUUAAAACAAAUAUUAUAUUAAAUUUAACAUUAAAAACAUAUAUUAUAUUAAUUACAUUGAACGUUCAUAAUACUAUCCACUCUAAACCUGUACCAUUCCCAUUCCAAGGAUUAAAUUUAAAUAUCAGAAGCUAGUUCCUGAUUAAAAAAAAAACUAUACAAGCCAAUUAUUCACUCUUAAUCUCAUUUAAAUAAUAAAUAAAUGAUGUCAUUUGUUCAAUUAUUUAUACUUAUUCAAUUGAUUUUUUAUUUCAUUUCUCUUUUUCCCUCUAUUUUUAUAAUUAUUUUCACAUCAACAAAGACAGUAUACUCAGAGCAUGGGCCAUUAAAUUUUUCAAAAUGAAACAUUAAAAUUUUAUUUAGAUUUAAAUAUGUUUUUAUAUCGAACUGAGCCGUAAAAUUAGUGUUUUAGUCUUUAUGCAUUUUUUAACAUAUUAUGAGUGUAAGUCAAUCUACCCUCAAUUCGCAUUAAUUUUUUUAUUGUUGUAUGAUAUUAUUUGUGGAUUAAAUAUUACUUGUUAUUUUCAUUCAUUAUCUAAUCAAUGUCAAUGUUAUAGUAAGCCCCAUUAAACAUACAAAUAAUGUGGGCUAUUGAAGUCACACACAUUUAUAUACUCAGUUGAACCCAAAUAUUCUUUUCAUAUAUUCAGAUAAAUUGCUUUUUUUUUAAUCUGGUUUUGAACUUAUCUUUCGAAAAGGAUUUUUUUAUUUUAUUUUAUUUUAACUUGAUUUUAUCCAAACAAAAGUUCGUUUACGAAUACGAAUUGUUGUCGUUUUCUAUCUUCUAAAUUAUGUAAUAUGAUUCGUUGAUACUAAUUUAAAACUUUAACUAAAUUAUUUAAUAGAUUGUGUAAUGUAAUAUAAUAAACGGACGUGUGUGAUGUUUAAUCCCGUAAUUAUUACAUCACUAAAUGCAGAUUUAAUGUAGUUAUCAUUUGAAUUACCAUUUAAUUUUUUAAAUAUUUGGUAAUACUAGAUAUACCUUUUAUACUAUUAAAAGAUUUAAAGUAAUAUACCUAAGGAUAUAUUUGUUUUCCUUCUUCUCUAAAGGUGUUAUUUAGAUAGUAAGUUCCUCUUAUUCUUCCUUUAUUCUAAUUCUCAUUCUUCUUCCCUUCUCAAAAACUUUUGAAAUGGAAUCGAAUUGAAAUAUCAAAAAGUAGAUCAAAACCUAAUUGGAAUUAUUUUGAUGUUAGUAAAAGACUUAAUCGGUGGGUUUUACAAUCAAAGGAGACAAAAGAGUUCUUCUAGGUAGUCAUUUUUAUUGUUUUUUUUAUAGUUCAAUUGGUUGUUGAUUUAUGUUCGUUUGAACAUGUACCAAGUAAUUGGAAAAGUUUUAUGUUAAUUUUGAGAGAUUAAUGAGGUUGGGAGUGGGGUGGAUUUUGGUUCACAAGAACCUUAAAAUCAUGAGUUGCAAACUUGUCCUCCAUGAAAAAAAAUCAAAUACUCAAAUCCGUAUCCAUACUUUUUAUAUUUCAAAUCCAAUUCAAUCAAUAUGAUUUACAUUAAAUAACAAUUGAAUUUUUUCAAAAUCAAUUUUUUCUAUAAAAAAUAAUUUUUUUUAGUUUUGGUUUUCUCAAUUUAAAGUGUUUAAGUUAAGAAUUAAACUUUGAACUUAACUCAAUCUUAUAAAAAAAAGUUAUAAUAGGAGAUCCACAUCCUAUAAUUUGAUAUAUCUCAUUUACUAUUUAUAAAUCUCAUGGUCAAUUCAAUGAAAAUUAAAAGAAUGACACCUACAAAUAAUAAUCAUUGAUUUUGUAUCGAGGUGUGAAUGACAUAUACAAGCAUGUGCUGGAUAAACUUGUAAGUUAAAAGAGCUAAGUAGAUUAUCAACCUAGUUUUUGGGGUUUUCAUAGUAACUAAUAAGACUAUGGAAUGUGGGUGAAUCCCUAUAAAUAUAAAAUAUUUUAAAACUCUGAAAAAAUUAUUUUUUGGAAUAACACACAUUCUUCAAUGAUCAAAUAUAGAUCUUAUAUGAAUGAUGAAAGGAUGCAACUAUAGGAGGGGAAAGUUUAUAUUUGUUCAUAAAGUGAAGAAUCUCCCAAAAGUUAAGUUUACCUAUAUUAUAUAUUAUGUAUAACAUAAUAUAAACAUAUAUAAACAAAUAAAUUGUUGUUGGAUAUGAUCAAAUCAAAUGUGGUAAGGACAAUUUACAUAGUAAAGUUCCAAUGAGUUUUUUGUUUUUUCAAUAGUUAUGCAUAAAAAGCAAUUUAGGACAUUUGUAGUUUUUUCCCUAUAAAUAUUCCCUCAUGGAAAAAUCCUUUUAACUACUCUAUGUACCCCAAUACCAGGUGAUUUAUAACUUUACCAUUUAUUAUUAUUAUUAUUAUUAUUAUUAUUAUUAUUAUUAUUAUAUUUUAAAGUUAUUAGGUUGUAUUUUUUUUAUCAGCAAGUUAUUAGGUUUAUGUUAAUUGUAGAGGUUUAUGUCAUCAAAGAUGAUGUUACCCCUUGUUCAAACAAUAUUUUAUUAAUUACUAAUGUAGCUAAUACUUUUUAUUUUAGUUUUAAAAUUAAUAAUGAGUAUUGAGCUAUAUAAUAUAUAAAUAAUAUAUUCAAACGUUAUUAUAACUUAACUCGUAUAAAUGAAAUAUAAAAAAUAAAUGAAAACUUGAUAAUUAUACAAUUGUUAAUGUUAUUCUUAAAUUACAAUAUUUUUAAAGUUAUCUAAUCUUAUAAAUAAAAUGCAUAAUUAUUUAAUAUCUAUGGUAGAUAGUGUAUGCAUAUGAAUUAAUCAUUUAUUAUAUCCAAGUAAUUUAAUUUUUAAUAUGGAACCAUAUAACAGAAAAAUAUGGAGUUAGAGAAUGUUCAAAUGUAGAUAAGAGAUACAAAAUUUGUAUUUUAAAUUUUUUUAUAUAAUAAAUCUUAUAUAUAUAUAUAUAUACGUAUAUUUUUUAUAUUAAUUAUAGUAACAACAGUGGAUCAUUGCUCUUCACAAACAUGUUUUAUAAAUUAGGGCCAAACUAAACUUAAGUUUAAUUUAAAAAAAAAAACGAAUCUUAACAUAUAUUCUUAACACACAAAAUUUGCACUCCAUGGACGGAAAACGACUUUGUCUAACAUUAAGUCAUAAUCAUGUUAUUCACUCUUGUACUCAUUUGAAUAAAUACAAAUAAACCUACUCAUAUUUAUUUAACAAUUUAUAUUUAUUUAAAUUAAAAAAAUCCUUUUGUUUUUCCUCACUCAGAACAUUGACCACUGAAGUACAACUUGCUCAAUGCAUGAACCACUCAUUUUUUUUAAAUUUAAUCAUUAAGAAUUUAUUUAUUCGUGUCCAUUUUAAAAAAAAAGUAUUUUUGUUAUUUUAUUAAUAAAAUAAUAUUUACAUAGCAAUAAAAUUACUAAUUUUACUAAGAGGUUAACUUUAAGUUUAACUCAAUUUUAUAAAACAAAUGAGAUUUAUACCCACUUAUAUAUUAUGAAAUUUCUUAGAUGAUAUGUUUUUAGAUGGAAUAGUUUGAUAAGUUUAAAAAACUUUUAUUAUAUAAGAUUUUAAAAAAAUCUGAUAUUUUUAAACUUAACUCAAUUUUAUAAAAUUAACAUUAAAAAUUACAUCUAUCAAAUAUUCUUAUAUUUAAUUGAGGUAAAAUUUCGAACAAACUUGUUUUUCAUUAAAAAUAACAUAAAAUAUUUUUGAAAAGCUAUAAUUUAUAUUCUUAAAAGUUUUGUAAUUGUUUAAAUAUUAUUAAGUUUUUACACUUUUAAUAAUUGUUGUUCCAAUUGAUAAGUAAGCCCAGCUAUAACAGAUGAACGCAUGUCAAUGUGGGCUAAUUGACGUACACAUAUAGUUGGACCCAAUCAGAACACGCACACAUGUCCAAUUACAAAUGGAAUGAGCCAUGUAAAUUGGUUGCAUUUUUUUCGAAUAUGGUUUUCAACUUGUCUCUAGAAAAUAUUUUUUUUGUAUACUUAAUCCAACGUGAUUUUCUCCAAAAAAAAAAGGUUAUUAUAUAUAAAUUAUUUUUAUUUAAUUAUUUAGUACACUUGUAUCUUUUAUAAAUUAUUUAAUAUAAUUCACUCAUACGGAUUUAAAAUUGAUUGUUUAAUAUAAGUUAAUUAUUUAAUAGAUUGUGCAAUUUAACAGGCGGACAUAUAUUUGCAUCACUAAAUAUUGAUUAAUAUAUUUAUAAUUUGAAUUACCCAUUUAGUUUUAGAAAUAUUAGCUGAUACUAAAUCUAAUUUUGUUCAGUGAAUGUAAGAUCUUACUUUUGACUCUUUUUUUUAUUAAUUUUAGUUUUGAUUAAAUUUUUAUUAUUUUUCCUAACUUACUAAAGAAUAAGACUGACAUAACCUAUGUUUAAUGUUAUUUAAGUUACAAGUGAGCUAACUUAGUAAUACAAGAUACGAGAUUUUAAGUUUUUUAUAUAACCUAAUCUUCACAUAUAACCUACUAGAAUGAGACCCUUCUAUUAUUAAUUUGUUAAUACUGGUAUACUAUUAUUUGAAAAUAAAAUGAACUAAUUUAUAUUUAUAAACUAUGACAUCAAUUUAUUUUAAAUUUAAAUUAUAUUAUAUUAAUUAUUGUUAUUAUGAGUGUUAUCUGCAAAUUAUACUGUAAUAAUUUUAUUCUAAGUUCGAAAAAAACCUAUUACAUUAAAAUACUAUUGAUAUAAUUAUACUUUAAUCUUCAAAUUUUAAAUUAUAUCUCUAUAAUUUAUAUCAACUUAAUUCAUUGAACGAAUAAAUAUAAAGUGAUUUUAAUGCGUGCAUACGAGUUAAAGUGCUUGUAUAAGCUUAUUUCCACUAUCCAUAAAUUCUAAUUCAUGUAUACUCUUAUCUUUCGCCCCUUCUCUAUUUAUUUCCAUUUUUAUAUUUUGAAUCUUUAUUUAAACGUAUCAGUUCAUCAGUUUUCAUAAAAAAAUCACUUUUAUUACAUAAAAAAACAUAUUUUCACACAACUAAAAUAAAUAAAUAAAUAUUAGUUCAAAUAAGGAAUGCUUAGAAAUGAAAAUAUGGAUUUUUGGUAUAUUUGACUCCAAGUGGCAUUCAUUAAGAAAAACAAAAUACGAUUGUUAUUCAAAUAAAAAAAAUAUUUAAAAAUCUGCUAUAUUAUAAUUCGUUAUCAUCUCUUGAUUUUAUUUUAUUUUAUCUUUAAUUAACUAAGUUGGCUAUAAUGUAUUUGGAUAAGAAUUUUAAUAAAAUAAUUCAAUCUAAAUGAAGUUUUAUGAUAAAAUGUGUUAUUUGAGUAAAAAUGUAGAAUUUUAUUAAAAUAAUUGAAUUACUUAAAAUUAGAUAAUUUCAAGUUUCAUCUAAUAAAUACAAUAAAAGUUUGAAAAUUUUCGUAUUCCCAAAAUAAGGUUUCUUUUAUUCAUAUACUUUUAUUAGCUUGAUUUUGAUUGAGACUUCAUUAAUUUAUUCAAGACUAAUACAUUAUUGUUGGUUUGAUUGAGAUUAUGGUAUCACAAUGUCAAAAAUAUAUCAAGAAAAAUAGUCUAAAAAUAUUUUUAAUAUUGAUGUUUUAGAAUUAUUAACCAUUAUUUAAUAUUUAGACAUUUUUUACAUUUAAUGAUAAUUGAAAUGUCUUAUUUAAAUAAAACGUAAAAUUGAAUGAAUUUGAAUUGUUUUAUUAAAUUAAAAUAUUAAAAUGUGGUUGACAAUAUUUUUAAAAUUGUGAUUUUUUUUAGUUGAAAGCAAAGGGAAACUUAUUCACAUUGUUGGCACUAUAUAUUGAAAGGUAUUAGUAGAUUUGUGUACAAAUAGGUAGCAUUAAUAAAGAGGGGUACGUGGCUGGUUCAUCUUGCCACAAUGUCACCUUCAUUCAAAGAAUUUUCAUACAAUUUAACAAUUCUUCAUAGUUAUCACUUUUCUCUUUCAAACGUGCUUUCUCAUCGCAUUCUUUUGACAAUACUUCAUACAAAAGUGGGUCAAUCAACUACGACAUUCAAUGUUGUCUCUUCGUUCAUGCAGCCAUGUUGCAUCCUUAUAAUUAUUCAAAUUUUGAUUUUUUUUAUAUAUUUCAAUAUUAGUUUUAUAGUUUUUUGUCCUCAAUUUUGGAAGUUUGAAGGAAGCCACGUAUAUAAUUUAUUUUAUUAUUAAAUAAAAACAGCUAUGAUAAAAAUGGCACGUGAAUGUCCUAUUCCUUUCCUGAGUGAUAUGAAAAUGUCAAAAUUAUCGUCUGUUGACUUUUGCAGACUCUUGUUUCAGCAGAGGCACAUGUGCUGUUUUUUUUCAUGAAAAUUUUGCAAAUUUUGAGAUUUUCUUUUCCUUUCGAUUCUAUGAUGCUGCUGUUAUUUUUUCAUAAUAACGACAACCUUAAAUCACGGAUAGAGAUACAAUACAAUGCUUCAAAAUUUGCUGUAACCGCAUAGUUACUGAAAUUCACGUACCACUUAAGUCAACUACCUCAUGUGCUUUAUUCAUCUUCUUUUUUUUUAAUCUAUUUUUCUAACGUAUAAUGUUCUAUAUGAUAAGCCAAAUUAAUUAUCAACUAAAUUAUAUUAUUUAUUUCAAUUUUUAAAUGAAAUUACAUUUUCUUAUCCACACAUAACUAUUUUUAAUUGUUUCACACGUAUUAUAUUGGCCUUUCAUAUCUAUAUCGACAUGUAUAUUACAUAUUUUUAAUAUUUAAAGUUUUAAGAUAUUGUAAGAAUAGCUAUUUUUUUUUAUAAAGUUUUCAUGUUAGAUUUUAUUAUGUAACUUGACAUCUUAACUAAACUAACACCUCAAGUAACAACAACAUCUGCUAUCACAUGAAAAAAAAAUAUUAUUAAAAAAAAAAAACAAAACGUGUUGUUAACUUUAAACUAAUUAAUAUACUAAAUACCAACUCUCUUCAAAUAAAUAAUUAUUUUAUGUUAACACUAAUCAUUGUAGUAUAAAACAUACAAAUGUGUUAUAAUAAAAAAAACAUAUUAACAAUAAAAAUUUAAUAAAAAAUUGAAACAUUAGAAAGUAUUUUUUAACCUUUUUACAAGAAAGUACGAACAAAAUAUGUGAUGUAUAAGAUUUGAUACAAAUAGGUAGACAUAUAUACGAGUUAGAAUGAGAAAAACUAACUUUUGAAUAUUUAUUUGUUAUCUAAAUAUAAAAUUUUAUUUUAUUGAACCAUUAUAAACGCUUAUAUAACAUUCAGCUUUUAAUUUUUAAAAGUAAUAUAAUUUUUAUGAUUCUAAAUGGAUCAUACAGUAGCUAUUCAUAUAUUCUUGGAAAUCUAUAAUUAGAAUAGUUGUACUGGUACUAACGGUUUUGAGAGAGAAUUAAAAGACCAUGAUAGUUUCAACAUACCACAUUUUAUAUUAUCAUUUAACAGCUAUAGAUACUAUUGUUUUAUUUUAAAAUGUUAUUUGUAUUUAUUUUUGUUAGUUAAGUAUAAUACUUUAUUUUUUUAAAAAUUGUAAAGUAUAUAUAAGAGAGAAAAAUGAUGUGAAAUGAUAUUUUUCUAUAAUGAAGUUAAUCUAAUAAUUGUUGGAAGUUGAUGUGAUGGUGCUAAUCAAAUUAGAGUCUCUUUUUAAAAUAAAUUAUUUAUUGUUGUUGUUGUUUUUUUUUAAUAAUAUUUUUUUUAUGUAAUAGUAAAUGAUUGUUGUCACCUGAGGUGAUUGUUAUUAGUUGAAGUGUUAGUGUAGCUGAGAUGUCAAGUAACAUAGUAAUGUCUAAUAUCAAAGUUUUUUAUAAUAAAAUAAAAAAUAAAAAAAAUAAAAAUAUUGUUGUUUAUUACGAAUGAUAAAGUUUAAAUUUAUUUGGAAAGUAUUACUUAUAGCUUUAUAUUUAACUUUGAUCUUUCAAAUAAAGAAAUUAAAUAUUCAUGAAUUCAUUAAUAAUUAAUAUUUAUAUCUAUAUAUCUAUAUAUAAAGGGAUUAUUUUCUUUAACUGUUCUUUUGGUGUUUAUCAAUUUUACCCUUAUAUUAAUAUUUGUUUUAUUAUUUUAUCUUGGACAUUUUAGUUAGUUUAUUGUUUUUUUUAAGAAUUUAAUAAAUAAUUAUUCUUAUAAUUAAUUGGGAAACUGUUUUUCUUUUAUAAAGGGAUUCCUUUUAAUUGUUUUUUUUGUGUUUAUCAAUUUUACUCUUAUAUUGAUAUUUAUUUUAUUGUUUUAUUUUGGACAUUUCAGUCAUUUCAUUAUGUAGUUUUUUUUCCAUAUCUCUAUCUCUCACGUGGAAAAAUGUGUGAUCCUAUUUCUCACGUACCCUACUUCCCAUUUUCUCUUCUCUUUCCUUUUCUCUUUCAUGUAAAACAUACUUUUAUUCUCACUUUUUCUAUGUUUUGAUUAAUCUUUGCGGAACUCUAAUUUGAUACUUUUCUUAUGAAAUUGUAAUUGAAGUUUGUGACUUGAUGAAGGGGAAGGACUUAACAGAAAGAGUUGCAGGCACCAUUACAACAAUCAGUAUUUUUCUUUAUGUGCAUUUCAAUUUGUGACACUAAUUUGACAUUUUUCUUAUGAAUUUGUGAUUGAUUUUUAUAAUUGAUAUAGUGUAAGAUACUAUUAAAGUGAAUGAGUUAUUGAAAUUAUUCUUGUUUGACUCUAAAUGAUGGAAUUAGGCAAAAUUAUGCAUAUUUUGCACUAAAUCUCACUCGAGCGAAAUAAUUUUUGCUCAAGCGAGAAUAAAAUGAAAAGAUGGGUGCUCCAGGGUUUGUUCUCGCCCAAGCGAGAAGGAAUCUCGCUCAAGCAAGGCUUGAGAUGAAAUUUUGGGUGCUUGAGAGCUCAAUCUCUCUCAAGCAAGGGAAUUUUCGCUUGGACAAGACCCAUUCACAUUUUUGCUCAAGCUAGCUUGUAAAAAAAACUUAUAUUUUUUAUUUUUGCUUUUAAAAGCCAGAUUUAUUAUUGGUUAUUGUUUUUAAGUGAAAAUUCUAAAUUUUAUUUAAAAAUAUGAUUAAAGAAACUUAGUUAUGAGUUUAAGUGAAUUUUGAUAUAUAUUUGGAUUGUUUAGAAAGUUUAAAAUGUGAUGUGAUUGAAUGGUGCAUGGAUGUGUUAAUGAUGUAUGUAAUGAGGUGAAAAUGUGAUCAAGACAUAGUAUUUUCAAGAAAGGAAAUACCGUGUUGAGAUUGUUAUUAGGAUGUAUUGAUUUGCGAGUGUCUUGUGAAUGAGAAGAUCCUGACUCUACUAAUAUAAUGAAAUUAUAUAGAUGAAGUUAUUCAAUUGGUGAGAGUCAAAGGAGGUUUAUCUCACUGAGUCUGAGGUUUGAAAGAACUGAUUAUAGCAUAUCAAAUUGAUUUUCCCUACCAUAUGAGACGAUGAGAUAUUAAAAUAAUUAUGUCAUGACUGUGUGAAUUUCACAACUAGUAGUAUGAUAAGUGUAGAUCUCUAGAUGCUAAUUUUAAUACACGAGUCUUCCAAAAAUAGAGUCAAGUGUCUAUAUGUUGUGAGUCAUUAAAAGUUUGACAUGAGAAAUAUGAAUUAUGAAUUAUAAUAGACACUCAAUGGUUUGUGAAAAUGCAUGAGAAUUGAUAGUUUUAUGUUGAGAUUUAAAGUUUUAUUUAUAUUUAAAGUUUUAAAAAUAGUCAUCUUACACUGAUGUUUAUGUAAUGUUCUAUUUUCUUUAAUAUGUAAUGAUAUUUACACGGAAGCGAUGAUGUUAUAGGUGAUAGAACUGUUCAAUAAAAAGCUGAAGUAUAAAUAUUUAAUUUUUUUAUUUUAAUCUUAUAUAAAUAUUUAAAAUCCCUAUAAAAAAUGAUAUAUUUUGAAUCAAUGUAUGAAAGAGUUAUAUAUAUUACACAUUAUAGUUAUUAGAUGUGGGAGAAAUAUAGGAAUGUUUCACAUAACAAUACUACAUCAAAAUUUUCAAAUUUGUGAAAAAAAUUAUAUUCAAUUUUUAAUUUUGAAAAAUAACAAUUUUAAUCCCCCACCUCCUCUCUCUCUUUAUAUAUAUAUAUAUAUAUAUAUAUAUAUUAUGCUCAAUGUUCAAACCUAAUACUAAGAGUACUUCUAAGAACAUUGAUUUAUACAGGUAGUAAGUAAAUGACAGAAAGUACGAGAGAUACUUUUGACCGUUCUUCUAUUUCGGUGAUAACGGAGUACGAAACACUGUUCACUGAUAUCAACAGAAUUAUUAAAUUUAUGUGUUCGUUAACUGCUAAUCACUACAUUGACUGCAGAAUUAAUGUUAAACAAAUUGUAUUCAAAUUUAAGAUCUUAAAAAUGUAUUCAAAUUAAUGUUAACUCAUUUUAUCAUGUUUAACUGAUACUAUUUCUAAAGUAUAUUCAUGUUGUUUAGUUAACACAAUUGAACUGAAUCAGUAAAACGUGUUGAACUGCAAUGAAUACCAGGAUUCGGUUCUCUUCAAACGUGACAAAUUAUUUUACGGUCCAAAUAGCGAUUUGAAAUGAACAAAUCACUACACGAUGUAUUUAUUUAUUUUAUUAUGAUUUAAAAAAACUCAAUUACAUUCAUACAAAUACUAAAGUACUACACACUGAAACUAUUUAUACAGUUUAUCACUUAGGUAUUUUUCAUUAAAUAAAUAAGUUUAUUGAUGUAGAAAUUGAAAAUAAAAAAAAUUGAAAAAUGACGUUCGAUGUAAAUGAUUUGAUUAUAAAUGAAAAAAAAAUUAGAAGAAAAAGACAUGGAGAAUAAAUAGAAUAAAAAGACGUAGAUGAUUGAGGAAUGGGAGAGGCGGAGAGAAAGCAGAGGGGACAAAAUGAGGGAAAAAAAAUAUUAAAAAGAAAAAUAAGAAAGACGACAAAGAAAGCAUUGAGAAUCCACGGUAGGGAAGGUGGUCAAUCCAAGUCAACUACAGCAUAAGCUGGGAACCAACGGAUCCUCAAACUUUUCUCACAGAUCCAACGGCUUAAACAAUGCCUUUGACCUCAGUUUAUAGCCCCGAUGCAAUAAUAACCCUCCGGUGGGACCCGGAGGCACAAAAAGUCAAUAUCUCCCCACUACUCACACUUCCUUCAGAUGCUUUUUCUCAACGAAAAAAAAAACAGAGAAAAAAAUAGUGUUUUCCUUUUCUCUUUUCUGAGUGGGCAGAGACCAAAAUACCCUGUUGCAGCGUUUGGAUCUUACAUUAGAGAGAAGCGAAAUUUGACGGAAACAGGGACGAGACGAGUAGGGUUAGCUAGCUAGCGUGACAGUACAGUGAGCUAGUGGACCAAACAAGCCACUAUUCUUUUUUUUUUUUUUUUGAAUUUAAAAUUUGUUUUGGCAUGACUUGACCAGGGUACCCUAUGACCCUCUUUUAUUUUCUUUUGGUCUUUAACACCUCCUUCCGUGUGCCCUUUCUCUCUCUUUGAUGCAACUAUGCCUGUGGAGCUCAUGAUGGGGUACAGGAACGACACUUUCGCCGAAGAGAAUGCGGUUCGUGAAGCUGCGUCGGGGCUAGAGAGCGUCGAGAAGCUCAUCAGGUUGCUGUCACGCGCCCAGCUGCAACAGCAGCAACAGCAGCAGCAGCAGCAACAAUCGCACGCAUCCAAUUCGAAGUCUUCCAUGGAAAUUGAAUCCGAUUACGGAGCUGUCGCUGACGUGGCGGUUUCCAAGUUCAAGAAGGUCAUUUCGCUUCUGGGCCGAACCAGAACCGGCCACGCGCGUUUCAGAAGAGCCCCCGUGCCUCCGCCGCCUCCUUCCGAGCCCAGAUUCUACCGCGCAACGCCGCUGCAGCAGAUCCCGCCGCCCACCGAACACCCUUUCAUCCCUAAAAAUGGACUGAUUGACACAAAGGACUCCUCCAAGACCAUCAAUUUCUCCUAUUCUAAUUCCUUCGUCUCCUCCCUCACCGGCGACACCGACACGAAGCAGCCCUCUUCCUCGUCGCCUGCGGCGGCGGCUGCCACGGCAGCGCCUUUUCAGAUCACGAAUCUCUCUCAGGUCUCCUCCGCGGGAAAGCCUCCUCUUUCUUCGUCUUCGUUGAAGAGGAAGUGCAGCUCUGAGAAUUUGGGUUCUGCCAAUUGUGGGAGUUCCUCUAGCCGAUGCCAUUGCUCAAAGAAGAGGUGGGUAUUGGUAUAUAUAUGUCAGUCUCUCACUUUUUUUUUAUCCUUAAAAAUUGUUUGAAAAAAAGAAUCUGUUUUUCUGUGAUGUCUGGUUCUGAUGCAUUCUUCUUUGGAUUGGCGUUAUGCAGUAGAAAAAUGAGGUUGAAGAGGGUGGUGAGGGUACCAGCAAUAAGUUUGAAGAUGGCUGAUAUUCCACCAGAUGAUUAUUCUUGGAGGAAAUACGGACAGAAACCCAUUAAAGGAUCUCCUCAUCCAAGGUGCAUAUAACAACAUUACACCAUGUUCUGAUUUAAAUUAUCCACCCCUUCAAUUUCAAAUUUCGAAAUGUGCCCUGGUUUCAUUAAAUUUGAUUUGUUUCCCUUUUUCUCUUUCCCGUGUGACUAAAUUUAGAAAGAUCUUGUCAUUGGUUGGUUUCUGUCCUUUCAUAGAGUUUACUAUGAAGUGGUGAAGUGAGGUUUAUUUUUGUCUGGAAUUAUUAAUUGCAGGGGCUAUUACAAGUGCAGCAGUGUUAGAGGGUGUCCAGCGCGCAAGCAUGUAGAGAGGGCUUUGGAUGACCCAGCUAUGUUGGUAGUCACCUAUGAAGGUGAACACAAUCACUCACUCUCUGCAGUCGAAGCUACUACUAAUCUUAUCCUAGAAUCUUCUUAGCUAAUUAGUCAAUCACCGAUUUCCCAUCACAGAGCAUAUUCUGAUCAUGUCAUUCAUGGCUUGUACACUUGAAAAUUUUACUCUCGAAUGAGAUUAAUUAAUUGAUGGGUGUUCCAUGUUCACAUGUUCUAUACAAUUCUAUUCCUUUUCCCCUUUUGUUCUCUUCAAAACAUGGACCGACCGACACUGAAUCCACCCAUCUUGACUGUAUAUAUAUUUUUCUUUUAAAGAAGGGUGAAGAUGGCGUAUUUGGUAACGGAUUUCAUUUAAUUUGAUUCAAAUCUAAAGAAAAAAAGAAGAAAGGAAGAAGUGGGGUUGGUUUUGUUCCUUUUUCUUUUCUUUUGUUUUCUGCUUGAUUGCUUUACAUGUGGUUCUGAUCUUGGAUGCUCAUGGCCUCUCUCAACAUUAAUGGAUGAAAAAGACGGAGUCAAAGAAGGAGGAACAUGUGGUGUUCAUUGCUAAAGAAGGUUGACUAAAAGAGAGAGUGGUUGGCACUUGGCAAUUGCCAGUUAGAACGGCAAAUUAUAGUGAAUGAACUGGGAAGGUGAGGUGAGUGAUGGGUAAAGGGCGCAGAAAGAGAGUUUUUAAUGCAAUUUUUGUCUCAACCAUUUGGCUUCUAGGAUAAAACUCUUGUUUGAACUAGUACAUUUGUUUAAAGUCUUUAAUGUCUGUUUUGGUUUAAUGUUCAAAACAUUAAAUUCAUGUUUAACACUUGUUGUAGCUUCUGCAUCAUAAUGCACUUGUUCUGGGGUUUCACUUUCUAAGUGAGUUUUACAGAAUUAAGGUAGAUUUAAUCUGAUAUUCUGAGUGGAAAAGCUAUAUGCCAAAGUCAAAAUGGGUGGGUGUGGAAUUGAUUCAGUUGAUAAGUUCAUAGACUGAAGGGUCCUACCUCGUUUUAAAUUUGUGUAGUUGUUUGUUUUCUCAUUGCCUUUGCCUUAACGUUUGCUUUCUUGAGCGUACAGAUCCAGUCAAAGCCCUCUUUUGCUUAUUCGUCGAUUUCGUUUCACCAUUUUUACCUGAAUGCAGCUUCAAUUUUUUUGUAUUGUUUUCUUCCCACUUUCUCGCAGCUCAUGUGAAAACACAUAACAAACGGAAAACUUUUUUAGAUUUUCAAAAUCUGAAUUUGGUAUAUGAUAUUUUUAUCUUAUUAUUGUUUUUAAAUUAACAUUAUAAAAAAAAAUUAGGGAGGAGAUAUUAAUAUAAUUUUCUCAAAAUUAAUUUCUUUUACAGCGAUAAAAUAUUAUGUUAUUUUGAUUAAAUUAUGUAACAUGUUAAGUAAUAAAAAAAUUAUUAUAUAAAUGCUUUUUUACUGGUUAAUUUUAAAAGCAUUUGUAAAUAUUUUUUAUCAAUUAAAUGCAUUUUAAUCAUUUAUAGGAAUCACUAUUUUUGGAUAUGAAAGAAUUUUAUUUUGUAUCAAAUAUAUUUUUUUAAAACUGUAUUGUUCGUGUAUCAUAACAUGUUCAAUCCAUCUCAUGAACUCAGUGGGAGUAAGGUCACUUCUUGGUUCACUUUUAUUUUAUUUUAUUAUUAAACAUUGGAUUUUUAUUCAAUUUUUAUGCUUAGAGUUUUCAUUAUAACUUUUUUUAGUUCUCUUAAAAAAAUAAUUUUUUUUAAAUUUUUUUAUUAUUAUUUUAGUUCUUGUAGUUUUAAUGGUAAAAUUCAAAUUCAAAUUAAAUAUACGUUAAAAUACAAUAUAUUUAGAUUCUUUGGCUAACUUUUAUAAAAUAAGAAAAUUGAUUUCUUUUUUUUCUUAUUUUAACAUUUCAUAAUUUCAAAUUAUUAUUAAUUAACAUAACAAAUUAGGUGGUUCAACUACUACUUUCAAUCUGGUCAAACGACUUGGUCAAUUCUGCUUUUCUGAAGUUAUUCUUUUUCUACGUUGUGACAUUGUGUGAUUUUAACUAUGUAACGCAUGGAUUAACUGGAAUCAGUUUAAUUAGUGAUUUAAAUUUUUUUUUAUAGAAUUGCGUUAAAUAUUUAAAAAUUGUAAUUUCUUAAAAUUAGUCUUCAUUUUUCCGAUAUAGUAGUUUUUUUAAGGAGAAAUCAUUAAUUUUUAUAUGCUAUUUUAAAAUUUUCAAGAUAACAUUUUUUUUCCAAUUAUACUCUUAUUUCCAUUUUUAUUAGCAUUGAAAAAGAUCAUUUAAAAAAUAAAAGUAAAAAGAGGAUAAUAAGUACUUAUUUAAAAUUAUACUGAAGAUAGAAAAAUUAAAUAUUAUCAUAGAGGGAGUAAAUAUUAAGUAGUAUGUUUUAUGAAAAAAAUGAUUAAAUUACAUUGGAUUGGUUAUAAAUACUAUCUGNNNNNNNNNNNNNNNNNNNNNNNNNNNNNNNNNNNNNNNNNNNNNNNNNNNNNNNNNNNNNNNNNNNNNNNNNNNNNNNNNNNNNNNNNNNNNNNNNNNNUCUAUUUAUCACUAUUAAUAACUAAUAAUAUAUAUAUAUAUAUAUAUAAUAAUUAAAAUAAAUAAUAAUAAACAAUAAGAAACAAAAAAAAUAAAAAAUAAAAUAAAUAUAUAUAUAUAUAUAUAUAUAUAUAUAACUAUCUCAUAUUAUCUUAAAAUAUAUUUAUCUUCACAAAGUGUUGGAGAUCCCACAUCGACGAUUAGAGCCUUUCAUUGUAUAUAAGUGGGUGCAAACCUCAACCCUAUGAGCCGGUUUUAUGGGGUUGAGUUAGGCUUAAAGUUCACUUCGUAAUAUGGUAUCAGAGCCAUUUCGAGCCUAUCCUAGCGAGUGUUUUCCGAUUUUAUGGGGUUGAGUUACUUCGUAAUACAAAGAUUUUAAUAUUUACAUACACAUAAAAUAAAACACAAAAGAAAAUAAUCAUCUCCAUCUUCCUAUUGUGUAGUUCUCUCACCUGCAACAUCAUCUCCUCUCGUGUAAACUCACACAAUCAUUACAUAUUAAAGAAAAAUAUUCAUAAACAAACUACGAUAAACUAUCUAUUUUUAAUAUAAAUUUAACUUUUAAUCAACAAACAUCAUUCACAUUACUCAUGUUAGACUUCUACUCCACAUACUUAGACACUUAACUAUACUUUCGAAAGACUCGUGCAUUGUCUUAGACUCAAAGAUUUGCACCUAUCAUACUACCUCACUGUGAAUCCACACAGUUAUGCGCAUAAAUAAUCUCAAUAUCAUAUCACCUAGUAUGACAAGGUUAAUUCAUAUAUGACCUGAAAGGCCAUGUUAUAUUUCAAACCAAAGCCAAAAUCAUAUGAAUCUCCUUUGACUUUCAACACAUGAUAAUCUUCAUCUAUACGAUUCUAAUAGAGGAGAGUCAUGAUACGUCCUUUUAGACGAAUUCCUAGUCAAUGCACGUCUUAAACAAUCUCAACACGAUAUUUUCUUUCUUAAAAAUACUAUGUUUUGAUUAAGAUUCAUAAUUCACAUUUCACAAUAUCAAAAAUUACACAAUUAAAUUAUACAAAAACUUUGAAUUUUAAAACACACACAAAAUUCAUUAAAGAAUCACAUAAAUAUCUAAUUAAAGGAUUUUUAAAUUAAAUAUACAUAACAUAAAAUUUUACAUAAGUUGUAAUUAAAAAUUAUAAAACAUAGGCUUGUUUGAACGAAAAUCUCUUCAUUUGAGCAAAAUUGAGUAUGGAACUCACUAUCUCAUACUCGCUUGAGCGAGAAUAUUUCACUCAAGCCAAAAUACCUUGAGCGAGAUAAGCAGGUUAAAACUGUAUAAAACUAUUAAAGAUUUAAGUUUUCAACAAAUUAUUUUCAUAAUCAAACAUAUUAAACAAAAAACAAUGAUAAUUCCUUGCUCAGAGAUGGAUAGUAAUUCUACUAAAGCUAAUAUGUAAAUUUGUAAUACCAUCUAUAUAUAUAUUCAACAUCUCUAUCAGCUCUAAUCGUCAAAUUGGUGAGUGAGGAGAUUAGAAUUUUAGAGAGAAUGCAGAGAAAAGAAAAAUGAAACUUCUAGAGAGAUGAUUGUUCUUUUAAAAUGAAACUUGAAUAACUGAAUUUUCUAUUUAUAUACUCUUUUCAUUUUAAUAAUAAAAUAUUCAUAUGUCAUUUAAAAUAUAACACUUCUAUUCUAAGAUUAUUUUCUAAAUUCUUAGAAUGGUUUCCAAUAACGAUUUUGAUGUUAUUAAAAACCUUUUUUUUUUUUUUUUACUUUAGGCAACACUCAACUAGAACACAUUUAUAUAACCAUUGUUUAAACAUAAAAAAGACAACAAUUUUAUAAGUGUGGUUAAGAACUACUAUGACAUAGUUUCUAAAAUCGUUACUUAUUUAUAUCACAUUUUUUAAGUGUUGUCUUUACAACGUGUGAGCUAAACAAUAAAUUUGUGACUUAAAAAUGCACACACAUAAAAGUGGAAAAGACAAAAUUUUUAUCAAAUGUGAUCCAAACCUAAAUGAAAUAGUUAAAAAAUCGUUGCCUAAAGUUUAUGAUAAUGUUGUCUAUCUUUUUUUAUUUAUUUAUAAAUAUGAUCCAAAAUGAUAAAUCCUCAUUUUUUUCACCUUUCAUUCGUCCUGUGAGAUUGAAACAGUGUUAAGAUAUCUGUAUGAACAAACCAAACACGUAUUCCUUGAAGCAUGAAUUCUCAUCUUAUAACUAAACAGUGAUUUAAACAUAUCCUCAGUGACAUUUAGAGUACGAAUUCUCUGAAGCAGUUACAAUCUUGGGUGCCAGAAAAAGAAAAAAAUGAAAAAGAAAGAAUGAAUUAUCUUUUACAAGCUCCAGCGAGGAAGUAAACAAUGCAAGUAAAAAGAUGAUAAAUAUCCAUUUUGCUGACUAUGAUAAAGCUUAUUGUAACGUUGAAGAUAUAGCAACUAAGACGAAGAAGCAGAGCCUGAUGAGUGGUUAUGAUUCUUACAAUACUUGACGCUACUUUCGUCCAUUUUUUCCAGCAUAUAGUGUCCCAAAGAGUGCGUUGUCUCCACCAAAUUUUCCUUGCACAGAAACUCGUUCCCACAAACCCUUUCCACUUUCCCUGAGAAGUCAUGCACAAACACAUGCGUCUUCGGGUUCCCACUCUUCUUGCUCCGGGCAAGCACGCCGGCGGUGAAGAUAGGCGACAUUCUGCCGGGAGCGUCCGGCCAGUCACCUCUUGGACCGUCCACCAAUAUCACAUCCCAAUCCACUUCAUAGACGUGGUUGGGAAGAUCGUUCAGUCCUAACUUGCACUCCGAAAACAGAAGAUUCUGCACUGGCCUGCACUCGUUUCCCGCCUGUUCUUUGGCCGAAGCUAUCAGCUCCUUCAUCUCGCUCCUUUUGGUCGUGUAUUGCACGUCGUAGGCAUCGAUUUCGGGGUGCUUUUCUUCGAAGUAUGCGGCGUAGUACCGGUUUUCGUCGAUGAAAACCGUUCUUCCGUUGUGGUUGAGGGCUUUCCAGAGGAGGGUCUCUGGGGUGAGGCCGAAGACGAGGAAGUUGCAUGGUGAUGGGCACUUUCGGAGCACGUCAGAGAUGGUUUUGAGAUCCGAGUGGGACAUGUGGUACGUGUCAUUGGAUUUUGAGGCGUAGUGGAGGAGGGUGUUGAUGACGGAGGAAGGCAACGGGGUGUUGGUGAAAGUAGAUAAAGGGGCGAAAGAGGUGGUGGCAGUGGUGGAUGAGGUUGUGUCUCUGGUGUAAAUGAGCGUGGCAAGGAAGGCCAGGGUGAAGAAAGAUAUGAAAGCUAGAAGCCAUAGGCGGUUGGAGCUUCCUUGUUUCUGGAUAUAUGGGUGGAGGAGGAUGAACUUUGUGUUGCUGGUAGUGUUCUUCAUGUUGGAGGGGUGAAGAGGUUUUGAAUGAAAAAUAUGUGUUGCUUUGGUGUGGUAGAGCUGCAGAUUCUGAGCUCUGGGGGAGAAGGUUUGAUUUAAAUUAGAAUAAGGGAGAGUGUGAAGGGAAAAUAUCAUUGAGAGUGACCCUACAAUGACCAUAUCCUUGCUUUGAGGUUGUGUUGUAGAAUUGAAAACAAUGUUAGAAGUUGUUUUUGGUGUGUUGAAUUUGGUUUUUUGCUUGAUUUGUGUAGUUGGUAUUCUGGAAUAAACAAUUCCAAAUAUAUGUGUAGUUUAAGUUGUGAAGGAUGGUUUAUGCUGAAGCAAAUAAGGAUGAGGAAUAAGGAACUGGGGUGGUUGGACUUAAGGUGAGAGAGAAGGUGCAGCGACCCAAUAUCUAAUUACAAACUUUAAGUCGCUUUUCCUUCGUCAUAUAAACUUUGGUUUCUAAGUCACCCCUUCGGGAACUUAUGAAAAAAGUAGCUACCUCUGAAGGGGACUCAGUACCUGCUGCAAUUUCUCUCCUUCAAAACCUUCUUCUCACACUUUUUUGUAUUUGGUUAUAUACAACAACGACUUCAAAGUAAAAAGAAAGUGGUAGUGAUAACAUAACUUGGUGAAAGUGAGAAUCCGAAGAAAAGAAAAAGAAAAAACGUGCACUUCUUUCUUCAAGCAAGAAGUAUUCAACUGUGCAACUACUUCUGACUUGCUGAGACUGUAAAGAGAAAAGGAACCAACGGUCAAAGAAGACUAGUUUUCUAGACACAGCUUUCUUUAGAAAAGCAAUGUUUAAUUAGUGACAACAAUGUAGUGUGUAUGCAGGUGAAAAAAGUAUUAUUAUUAGUUGCUUGAGGUGAAUUAGGUCAAUGUAUAAAUUUUAGUGGUGUAAAAAAAUCUAAAACUUAGAGUUGUAUGAGGUUUUAUAAGAUAUGAUGUAAAGUCUGUGUUUAAGGCUAAUAUUUUAGACACAGAACAUUUUUCUACCUAAAAGGGUACAAGUUAGUGAUAAUAAUGUAAGUUGGUGGCAAUUAUUACUUUAUAGUUUGAGUUAGUUGUGUGAGCUGAAUUGGGUCAAUGUCUAAAUUUCAGAGUAAUGUAAAUUUUGUGUUUAAGAUGAGUAAUUUUACAUAUAUAAUUUAUUUAAUAUAUAUGACUGGGGCUUAAUUUUCACGCUCUAUACUUUACCCUUUUUAACAAUAAUUAAAUAAUAUAUAUAUAUAUAUAUAAACUUUUUAGUAAAAAUUAAAUUAAUUACUAUACAAUUUUUUUUUUUAACAGUAAUUGUUCUCGAAUGGGUUUGGGGACCUAUAGAACGAUUGUUCCUGCUCCAACACUCUUGAAACUCUUUGAUGCCUGCUAUGCUUCCUUCUCCUUGACCAUCUUGCUCCUUAGGCGGAAUGAUACCUGCAGAAGGCAUUCCAACGCUCAAGUCAGUGGGUAUCGACCCUCGAUUGUCAGAGUACUGUAGAUAAUGACAUACAUUUCUUCUUGAAAUACGUGCUAUUUAUAUUACCUUAAUGGACCUUCACUGUUGGAUCAGAUUAAGGGGGUUGGUUUACAUUUAGGGUUGUGUUAAGCCAUCCUUAACCAUGAGUUAACCUUGCUAAUCUGGUCAACCUAUACCAACUUUUUAAAAACUGUAAUAUCCUGGGUUGACUGAAUUAAUUAUGACACAAACUAUCGUUUUUAAUUUGCAUCAUAAUUAGAAAGGAUUAUUAUCGUUUUCAAGUAUGUUAGGUUGAUUUUCUUUAAAAUUUUAAUUUUAUUUAUUUAUUAGUUUGACUAGCAUCACUGGAUUUUUACCAAUUUCACAGGUUUUUGACCGCUUUUUUAGUUGUUUAAUCAAUUUUUUUAGACUGAUUUUAUGGUUCAUUUGAACCACCUACAUUCUAGUCCCAUUAGUCAGUUUGAUCUGAUUUUCAUAUAAUAGAUAAUUCAAAUUGAGUUUUUUUUUAAUUAUCGUAAUUCAACUUGUGUCGUGGCUAAUUUUAUUCCAAUUAAAAAAUAAUAAUUUGUAUCACGAUGAAUUUUAUUACAAUUAAAAUGUUUUUUUAAAAAAUAUGUUGGAUAUAAAAUUAAUUAUUUAACUUAAAUGUAGUUUUGUUGCUUAUCUUAAAAAUAUUUUGUCCAUGUAAUUGAAUUAUCGACACUAGGGAAACACAGACGUCUUUGUUUAUAAUAAUAAUAAUAAAUAUAUAAUUAAAAUAUUAAAUAUUAUAAUUAUUAUUAAAAUACAAUUAUUAUGAAAAUAAUUGAUAAAAUAAAUAUUUUUUGUUACUUAUAAUUUAUUAUAGGUAAGUUUUAUGCAUAUCAUUACAUAAAGGAGAUAUGUUUUUUUAUUCGUAUAUAGUGUCAUCUUUUAUUUAAAUGUUUUUUCUUUAAAUUAAAUAAAAGGGAACAUAUUUUGUUUGUAACUAUUUUUGUUCUAACUUUUAAUUAAAAAAUUAUCUUUAAAUAAAUAAAUAAAUGUUUUAUUUAAUAAAAUAUGCACAAUUACUUUAUUUAAAUAUAAUUUGCUAUCUUUUCCACUUAAAUUAUAUAUACACGUAUAUAUAUUAAAUUUAAAUCAUUAUUUUAAAUUAUAUAUUUUUAAUUUAUAUUAUUUAAAUUGAAAAUUGCAUAUAACAUUAAUGAGAGCAUGUAAACUAUUUAAUAGAGUUAACAAAAUGAGUUAUAUUAAUAAGAAUAAAAUUAAUAACAAAUUAUAUAUACUAAAAGUGAUUUUUUUUAAUAAUUAGUUAUAGUUAUCCAUACACAAGUUGUGUUUCUUAUAAAGGGUUUUUUUAUGAAAAAAUUGAAGAUUUAUUAACUUAUAAAUAGUUGAAGAUUCUCCACAUUACAAACUAUAUUCAUAGUUUAAGUAAAUUUUCUGAAUUAUUCAUUUUGUAAAAGAUUUUUAGAUAUAUUAUAUUCCGAUUCACUAUUUUAUUUCUCUAUCUUUCAUAUUGGUUACAUCCAAAUAUAUUUUCGGGUUUAUUUUCCAAAACUGUGAGGAAACACUGUCUAAAAUGUUCAAUCACUAUAGGGUGUUUCUUCCUGCACCCCAACAAAUCUCUUCCUGCACUCCAUCCUUUUUUUGAAAAAACUGUUUUACUUGUCUUAUGGAUUUUUCAUUCUGAAAACACCAUGGCAAUUGCUUCCUGCACCAUAGCACUGCACCCGAUCUUAGCUGAAAAGACGAAACUGUCCUUAAAAAAAAUUUCCGAAAUAUGUGUUCCGGAUAUUUUUUUCCGGAACGAAAUUUUAUAUUACGGAUUUUUUUAUCCGGAAUUGAUUUUUUAUUUUUGUUUCCGGAUUUUUAUUUCCGAAACACAAUUAUUUCUUUUCCAGAUUUUUUUUUUUGGAAUGUAUUAUUUUUCAAUUCCGGAUUUUUUUGUCCGAAAUAGAAUUUUAAUUUUGGUUUCUGGAUUUUUAUUUCCGAAACUCAAUAAUUACUUCUGGAUUUAUUUUUCCGGAAUAUAUUAUUUUCAAUUCCGGAUUUUUAUUUCCGGAAUUAAGGGUAUUUUUGGAAAUUAAAAAAAUAUGUUGGGUGCAGGUUAAAAAUGAUUGGGUGCAGGGAGCAUUUGCCAAACACCAUUUGCUUAUGGAAACUCUAUUUUGGAAACAUCUUUUGUUUAUGAAACCUCUGUACUGGAGUCACCCAAAAAAUGCAAGGAUAAUAUUGGCAUUUUAAAAAAUGUAGGGUGCAAAAAAAAUGUAAAGUUAUAGAAAGAAACAGGCCUUAUUAUAAUGCAGAUUAUAAGAUGGAAGGGGAUUGGAAACUAGGCCUUUUGGAAAAACAAGGCCCAAUAAUUUUACGAGGUUCAUGGUAGGCUUUUUUUCUGUACCCCCAAAAUUACUAACUUACUAACUGCACCUCCAUGUUUUUUAAAAUAACCAUUCUAUUCUUCAUAAUGGUGACUUUUGAAUUACGUAUUUCAAAAAAACAUUUAGAACAAGUUUUUCAAAGUAAGUUUUCUAUGAACAAAUUCAAAACAUGAGAUAUUUUCUAGAACAUAUAUGUUUUUUUGAAAAAAACUUUUCAAAAACACAUGGAUGUUUCUUGAAACAAUAUUUUUAGAACAAGUUUUUCAAAACAUGAGAUAUUUUUCUAAAUAAUUUUUUUGGGACAAACUUUCCACCUAAUCCAAUUAUUUUUCUUCUACUUCAUAUUCUAUUUCACACUUUUACUUAAACAAGAUAAAACAUUAAAGUGAAAGUGCCAAUAUAAUUUGUAAAAUAUUUUUUUAAAUUGAUAUAAUCAAUAUAUAAAAAUGAUUUUCUUAAAUGUAUUUAAAAAUAUAUAUUACAAUUUAUAUAUAUUAAUUAAAAAAUUACAAGAAGACAGACACGUCAAUUUAUAAUAAAUAAAAUUUUGUUUUGUAAUUUUAAAUAUCGUUUAAAAAUAGAAAACAUAUUCAAAAUUUGACUAUCCGACACUGUUUUAAAAACAGGUCUACUUGUGAAAACAAAUUGAAAACGUUUGGUUUUAUGAACUGUUUUGGAAAAUAAAUUGUUUAAACGGGAGGUAUAGAAAAAGAAAAAAAAAAAGAAAAAGCCGACGAAAGGGGCACGUGAUGGCGUGUGGGGGCAUGAUAGCGUGAUUCUCACGCGUGAUAACGAUAAGAGAGUUUUUGAAUCCCUGACGAGAGAGAAUAUAAAGGGAUCAAAUGAGUCUGCGGUUUUAGAUGAAAUCUGGAGCGUCGGUUUUAUUGUGGAGAGAAGCGAGCGGUGCAGAAAACAGAGUUUGUUGAGUUGAGGUUGUAUUUGUACUGGAGGCAACUAGGCGGAGUGAGAGAGUGAGAGAGAGAGGGUAAGGUAAAAUCAAUUGUUUAUACUAUUUACUCAUUCAACUAACAAAGAUAUAUAAAGCCAGAAAACCACCAUUUUCAUUCCUACCUCUCUCUCUCUCUCUACUCUGCUUCUUCAGAUUUCAGGAGCGGAGAAUCGACACACACAGAGACAUGUCUGGUAUCGCUCGUGGACGUCUUGCUGAGGAGCGAAAAUCAUGGCGGAAGAACCAUCCACAUGUUCGUAUCCUAACACUUCCCCCUUUUUUUUUUUUUCUCUGCUUAUUUCUCGUCAAUUUUUCGUAUUCCCCUUUCCUUACAAUCUAUCUUUGUUUCUCUUAAUUUAGGGUUUCGUUGCCAAGCCCGAGACUCUCCCCGAUGGCACCGUCAAUUUGAUGGUCUGGCAUUGCACUAUUCCUGGCAAGACUGGGGUGCGCUUUUUCCUCUUUUAUUGUGUCCCCUUCUUCAUACUCUUUCUCUGCUUUUAUAUUCAAUGCUAACAUGAAAUAUCUUUGACUUUUUCUUAUCAAUUUUCUACUUGUUGCUUGUCUACAAAAGUUUAGUGAUUGGAAGUAAACUAUAGGGCUUGAUCUUUCCCACGGUUAAUAAUAUAAUUUCAGGUUUAUACAGAUUCAGUUUGUUUAACAUGCUAGUAAUGGUGUGCCCUCUAGGACUUUUGUGCUUUAGAGCCUUUCAUGUUAUGAGGUGCUUUUCUUAUCAGUUUUAAUGGAAUUAUUGGUGGUAUGGACGGCGUAAAUGUAAGUUUGUGCGGCGCAUGGUUUGAGGAUGGUAAAAAGUUCUUUGGAACUCUUCUAGUCGUGUGAUGCUUCAGGCUUAAGCCUUACAUAUAAAUUUGAUAGUAAAGGCACAUGAUAAGAAGCUUGAGAAAACCGCACCAUAAAAUCUGACCAUCCUGGCUAGAUUUUAAAUAUGUAUUGACCGUAUCAAUCCACACUUCCGUUAUGGGUCCAGGGUUUUAAAAGUGCACUAUAUAGUGCCGCCAUGACAGCAAGGCACUCCGCUGCAUGAACAUCAGAGAGGCGCUCUGUUAAUUGAUCAGCUUAGCGGAGCAUUUAAUUUUGUCUUUUCACAGUUGGAAUAGCAGGAUUUAUGAUGUGAUAGCAGUGCUCCAAUGAGUGUUGUGCCUCUUCCUUUAGGCUAUUUGAUCCAAUGUUGUCAAGAUCGCGAGUUAACUCGCCGAUCUUGCGUUUUUACGAUCUUUUUAGGCAAAAACGAGUUGGAUCGAAGGUGAGAUCGGACCCUCUCUGGAUCGGAGCGAUCCAGUAAACCAAGGGUUGGAUCGAACGAUCCAUGAGCUUCCGCGAUCCAUGACGCGGUCCAAAAAACACCCUAAUGCGCCGCUCGUGCUCGCCGCCGCCUUCGCGCACCACCGCAAACGCAUGAUGUGACGUCGGCGAAGCAUGAAGAAGGAGCUGUGGUGGCGGCGCCGCGCGUAAGGAAGGAGGAGCUGCGACGGCGCCGCGCAUAAGGAAGGAAGAGAUGCUGGCAGCACAUGUCUAAACCUAAAUUUUAAGAGACAUAACUUUGGGCCUAAGGCCCAUUUCAAUUUUAACCUAAUAAAACCUAAUUCAAAAUUUAAAUAUGAGAUGUGCUCUCUUAUGUGCAGCUGGAACCCUAAUUAAAAUUCACAGCUUAACCCUAAAUAAAAUUAACAGCUUACUCAAAAUUAGGUUUUUUGGGCCCAUCUAAAAAAUUACAAUUAUUUUCAUCUCCAACACAUUUUCUUAUCCUAAAUAAAAGUAUGGCUUACUAAUUUGGAUCGUUUAAUGAAUUAUCUUAUGUAUAGAAACUCGAAUAGUAACUCUUCCGAGUCGAAUUACGAUCUCCGAGUUACGAGUUUUUUUUCCCUCUCCGAUCCGCCUCCGAGUUACGAGUUUGACAACCUUGAUUUGAUCACCUCAGCCCUUUCACCAUCUUCUAUCGAUGCCUCCCUUCCUUGCAAACCUGUAUACGCAGCACCUAGUGAUACACUUUAGGGUUACACAGGAAAGGAAGUAGGGCUGGGGAACUGGGCUAAUGGUGACCCAAACGUUUUUUUAGUGUUUUUGUGCUAGGCCUAUGGGAGAAUUUUUUAGUCCAAUUUACCUUUCUUAAGAAAGUGAAAUUUAAACCUAACUCAAUUUCUCAAAACUGGUUUGAUAAGGUGAGUUUUAAACCUACUUAUAUAUAUUAUAAUUUGGUCAUAUUUAUAGUUGAUGUAUGAUUUCCAACAUACACCCCAUGUUGAAGAUUGAACAUCUUGAACGUGAGACUAGGGUGGAACUUGAUAGUCGAUGACAAAUAGACCCAAUAAACUUGACUAGGAUAGACUCUUAAUGACUCCUUUAUUAUCUUAAGAAAGUGAAAUUUAAACCUAAUUUAACAUCAUAAUUUUUUUUUGUAAUGUGAAGUUUGCACUCAUUUAUAUAUUGUAAUUUGAUUUUAUCUCUUGUUGAUGUAAGAUCUACAACACACCUCUUCAUUUUUAGGAAUCGAAAUUUUGAGCAUGAGACUAGAUAUUUGUUGGUAGUCCAAUUGUUGUCUGAUAACAUGUGACAUCUCAAGAAAGUUGAAUUUAAAAUCCAACUUAAGCUUACAAAGUCAACUUAAUAAUUUGAUGUAAUAUUAUAAUUUAAUUAUAUAUCUAUUUGGGAUUUGAAACAAACUUCUUUGUGUUUUUUAUUUAUUUAAAGCUCUCUUAUAAGGUAAUGAACUAAAUAAUAAUAGUAACUAAAAUAAUUAUAUAAACUAUUUAAAUAAUAACCACAUGAAGCCUGACUGAUCUCCUGCUUCAGAAAGAGCAUCAAUAAGGGCUUUGAUGUGAAAUAUGUAUUCUUCAAUAGUGCUAUUUUCUAGUAAUGAAUGACGAAGUUCAGAUAUGAGUUUUCUCACUCUGACACAAGUUUGCUGAUGGGAAUAAGAGUGCAUUUUGUCCACACUUUAUAAGAAUGAGUUGAUCCAAGAACCCAGGCAAGCAUAGAACUCGAUAAGGAGACAAUUGAAGACAUGCUAGAAGCAAUUGGUCUUGCUUUUCCAAAUCUAGAUACACUGGAUUUAUGUGAUUUUGAUCACAACACAAUUACUUUUAGAAAGAAAGCACGUAGGAAUAGAAAGAAAAACAACAAACUGAUGAAGGCUAUGUGCUUUUAUAACGGUUUCAAUUUGCUGUCGUCACAGUAAAAAAAUACUUUUCGUCUACCUUUUCAGUUAUUUCAAGAAAAAGUGGUUGGAGCAGAGAUCGAAAUCAAGAAGAAAAGUCACCAUCAAUUUUUUUUGUAAAAGCCAUGAUAAAAGAUCAAUGUGCUAUGAUAUCAUGAUAUAAAACACUGAUAAACUGAUUUUAUGAUGUAAAGAUCAAGGAUAGUGAAACUCUGUUUACAUAAAACUAUAUAUAUAUAUAUAUAUAUAUAUAUAUUUAUACACACACAUAGCUUAUUUACAAGGCAAGUUAGUCAUAACCAAUGAAGUCAAACUCGUAACUCGUACGAGGAUCGAAAAGGAGCUAAAAGAUCGUAAGUCGACUCGUUAGAGUUACUAACAUAAUAAUAUUCAAUACAUAACACAACUGAAAACAGUUUUCAUAAAUCAUAAAUUAUUCAUACAAAAAACAACUAACUUCACAAAUAUCUAAUACAAUUAAACUAUCAAAGGAAAUCCUUCAUAUUAAUUGAAGGAUAAUCAUCAUCCUCUUGUACAAGAUCUUCAUUUUUAUUAAUGUUAUCUAUGCCAUGACCUUCAUCAUCCUCAGCAAUUGGAGGAACCUUUGAAGUGCAUGCAAGAUGAUGCUUUAGUCUAUAGAUAUCCCCAGUUAAAAUCUUGUCACAAUAUUUAAACUUCACGUUUCUUGUUUUUCCAUCAAUAGAAACACAAUGAUUCCAUACAGGGUCUUUUUUGAUACCGUCACCACCUCCUGAAUCUAUAAUAAAAGGCAUUGUCUUAGAGAAAAAAAAACUGAACACGGUGACUGUGAUGGAGAAUGAGGGAGAAGAGGAGAACGUGAGCAGCAGCAGUGGCGUUGCGAGCGGCGGAGAUGGCGUUUGCGACAGCGGUGCCGGUGGAGUUUUGUGGUGCGAUGCUUGUUAUCUCUUUAGGGUUUCUGAUUGUGACUCUUUCUUCACUAACUUUCACUCUUCACUCUACUCUUUCCCGCUACACUCAUUUAGAAAUAUGAUUUGGGCCGCAUUGGGCUGCGCUAGGUUAAAAUUUUUUAGAGCAAACAACAUGUUGCACUAGGGUAUGAGGCAGCUCGACGAUGGCCUAUGAUGCGGCGAUCCACUGAGUUGGGCAGCGACGCGGUACAAUCUGCUCCGGUGCCGAUCCGCCGUCUGAGUCACCUCGGUUUGGCCUCCAAACUCGCUGCAUCGUACGAUUUUGCGAUUUUAACUACAUUGGUGGUCAUAACUGUUUAACUAAAACAGUUAACCACAUAGAAAACAAACUAUAGUAACUGCCUCAAACAGUUACACUAAACCAAAACAAAAAAAGACAGUUGUAAGAACAUAACUAACCAAUAACAUUGUCUAACAGAAGAUACAGUCACAAAAUUAAACUAAAUAGUAAUAGUACUAAAAACUAAAAGGAUGACAUAUAAUAUUGAAUUACUAUAAUAAACUAAAAUAGUAAAUGGUAAUAGUAAAGAAAGUUUUCUGAAUAGUGAGUGUCCCACUUUAGUGAUUGUGUCACCUGCUUCUCUGUAUUGCUAUCCAAGAUUUAAAACACUGUAAGGGUCUUAAGUCCUGUACAUUGGUAUUUAGCUAUAUAUUGGUUAAUAGUUAACAUGGUAUGUUAGAAAAAGAGUAACAUCAUUUCCCCUUAGAUGAUUUAUGUGCUGAUUUUUUCCAUCAUUUGGUUCAUUAGGUGGAAAAUAGGAUUUUUUCCAUUAUAUUCUUGUUCGUUCACAGUGGCAUUAUGUGCCUUCUUGGAUGUCCUGUUUUUUUAUUUAUUUUGGCAUAUGAUUGGAAGAAAUUUCAACUUAUAGUUUUACUUAACACGAAAAUAGAGACAGCAGGAUAGAAAACAAGAAGUGGGACAGUGAAGGUGUGAUGGAUUACACAUUGAACGUGGAAUCUAGUAAGAUUUAAAUGAGUGUGAUAAAUUAACAAAUCUACCAAAGAAAUCUAGUUUGUACAAUUCAUCUACCAAUGAUUUUAUUGGGGGUGAUUUAUUGUUAAAUGAUGCUUAUCGUAGUAGUGAAUUGUGUGGAACAGUGGCGCUAUCUUGCCAGAGCAUCGAGCUACUCCUCUAAGGGCCUUUAUAUUGUGCGUAGCCAUCAUGGCGACGACAUUUUUCACAUCCCACAUUUAUUUGCUGUGUGCUGCUAGUUGGCUGUGAGAAAAGUGUGUCAAAAAGAUGAUAUGAUUCACACCAGACAAAGACUUUUAGGAACCUAACUAACAACACUGAACAGUUUAUCUGUUUUAAACUUUAGCCAUUUGUGAUUUAGAUCAAUGACGACAACUUGUUUUGACUGGACCUUCAUAGUUUCAUUUCAAGAAUGGAUGGAUUCACAUGCUAGUUUUUAAUUUUUAUCUGAAUCAAAUAAUAAUAUAAAGUUUUUUUUUUCUAAUCAAUUUUAAAUAAAAUAUUUUUUCAAUCAUGAUGUUUUAGCUUUAGAAAAAAAAAAUCUUAAUUAAAAUAUUUUAAAAUCUUAGGCUUAAAUUAAUAAUGGGAAAGCCAGAACUUAAGAAAAAUUUUAAUGGCAGAACUUACUUAUCAUUGUUUAGUAUCAAAUAGAAAAUGUUCAAUUGAUUAAUUUGUGUGUGAUAGUUUCUUUAUUGCAUUUAGUUUGAAAUCUAUUACUAACUAAUCACUGUAAAAUUUGUUAUAACUUUUCAAAUACAGAUUGGUAAUUGAUAUAUUGAAUGUAGAAUAUUUAUUAUAUAUUUUGUUAUUUUUCUAUUAUAUUGUGAUAUUUAUCUGCUAUAGUUGGGGCUGUUGAUCCAUGCUAAUAUCUGCUAUAGACUACUUUGACGUCUACCAAAUAAAUCAGGUCUGGAUGUCAUGUAUCCGGGUAAAAAAUAUAUCAAACAUAGUAGGGAAUUAAAAAUAACUAUUGUUGUCAUAUAUAAUCUCUGCUUGCACCAUAUAAUCAAGAAGAGAUAGCAUUACGGAAGUUUAAAUAGAUUUCCUGUAUUUUACUUUACAAGGAUUGGGAGUAGAAAUCCUAUUUCUAUAAUACUUGUAUAUAUACCACAAGGGAUUAGAUUUGCAAGUGAAGCUUGGACUUAUAUACAAACCCAUCAACACCUCACUAACAAAAAUCAAAUCCAAUUACAACCACUACAAAAAUGCAAUAACUACUACUACAUAAUCUCUAGCACUGUAAGUCUAAAAUUAAGUAUUGUAAUAACUUUUUCUAUAGCUUCAAAUUUUAUGCUAGUGCAGUCUGCAACGUUUACCUUAUUUCUGAUCUAGUGGCUAUGAAAACUUUUGAAAGUUCAAUGCGUAGUCUACAAAACAAAUAUAAUACUUGCUUUGAUCAUUUAAACAUUGUUAAACAUAUAAAUAGUUGUCUAGAAGAAUGAUCAUCAUUAGAAAACAAUGAUUUCAUACCUUUUAGGAAUGAAAAGUAAAGAAUUUUUUACUAGGACCAAAAUCGAAUUCACUCAUUUUAUAGGGAGUGAAAACAUAUUUAAGCAUCACAUUAAUGUGUCUAGUUGGAUGAGAACCAUAUAUAUCCAUUAAGCAAGGGGGAAGGAAGGAAAAUAAAUGGCAUCUUGGUAGCUUAAUAUGGGAUUUUUGCAUUUAACAUGGUCAAGGUCAUGGAAAUUACUCAAAAUAUUUGAUCCCUAAGAGCUUAUGUCAUUGACUCAUGUUAUGUUGGAUUAUAUUUGCAUAUGAAUGAGCAAGACACUUAUUUAUUUCAUUAAAAUUAUUCUGUAUCUCACUUGUUGCAGACUGAUUGGGAGGGUGGAUAUUUCCCACUGACAAUGCAUUUCAGUGAAGAUUACCCUAGCAAGCCUCCAAAGUGUAAAUUCCCUCAAGGUUUCUUUCACCCUAAUGUGUAUCCAUCUGGAACUGUUUGCUUGUCUAUACUUAAUGAAGAUAGUGUAAGUAUAUCCUUCUGAUAAUUGCAUGAUUUCUUGAAGCUUGUAUGAUGUGAUUCUACAUGCUUCUGAGUGUAUAUAUAUUUAUAGAAUCAUUCUUUUACAUUUAGGGGUGGAGACCAGCUAUAACAGUGAAGCAAAUUCUUGUGGGCAUCCAAGACCUGCUUGACCAACCAAAUCCUGCUGACCCUGCUCAGACAGAGGGUUAUCAUCUAUUCAUCCAGGUAGCUAACCUUAGAAACCCUACACUUUUUACCGGGAAUUGUAUGACUAUAGUUGUUUGCGAAGAGUAAAGAUGGGCUGGCAUAAUUAAUCAACGCAAAGACCGGGUUGGGGUUUCAGAUUUUUGUUAUGCAUUCAUUACCAGAGUUGAGUGCUUAUAAAUAUUUUUGUGCAGGAUGCGACUGAGUAUAAGAGAAGGGUCCGGCAGCAGGCAAAGCAAUAUCCACCUCUUGUGUAGUUCUAUAUUUGCCCACUUUAGGAACUAUUCUAGUAUGUUAGUCGUUCAGUUAUUUGUUGUCCUGUGUUAAAACUGUUCUGUGAUUGUUGGCUGUCAUAAUAUGCAGACUCCAGGGUUUAACUAUUUCCGCUUACUCUCAGGUCUGGAUGAUAACGUGUUAAUAUAUUACAAUCUGAAAGUCAACCAAUAAUACUUGUUGGCCACACUUUCUGUGCCUGAUGUUCGUUGGUACAUUUCGAUGUGAAUGGAUAAAUUUACUGUCAUCAAUUAUAUGAUAUUAUGACUCCUUAUUCUGCUUUUGUUUCUAUAUUGGAAAUCAAACCUAGACCUAUUAGCCAAUUCAUUUGUGCUCCCGUUGCAGUAUAAAUUAUCACUGCGCUUUGGUGGCAUAUGCUGUGGAAGCACCUUGGAAAGUGAGAUGUUACUAUGAACAAUCGUACAACAAUCAUUUGGGAAAUGUGUUGUCUCAAAUUAAAAUUCCCUUCUCCUCACAUGAGAACUUUUUAAAUUACAAAGUUUUUAAUCAUAAAUUGUUUUAUUUUAAAUUCCUUGAUUAAACUCAGCAGAUCCAAAAACAUUGCUCUCAUUUUUUUUCUUGUUCUUCUUGAUUCAUCAACCACAAAAAUAUAAAUCACUCCCGUGGGCUCCUCGCACAAACAAUUCUACCUCAAACACUCUACUUUUUUUAUUCAACUCAUCAAAUAAAAACAUUACUAUAAGUCAACUGUUCAUCGGACUACAUAAAUCUACUAUAUUUCUAAUCAGGGUGGUUACUGGGAUUGAGGAUUUAAAAGAAUUUUUUACUAUUAAAAAUCAUACAGAAUAUAAUGUGUUGUUCCUAUCAUUACACGUCUCAUUCGACUACCUCAGAAGAAUUAAUCCUGCUCGAGCUAUUGUGACAAGUGUUAGCCUGAAGUUCACAUUAAAAAAUAUAUUUGAAGCGUAUAAAGAUGAGAGAAAUAUAUUUUCAUUUGUUACAAAUUUCUCUUGUCUAAUUCAUUCUUAAAGAAGCUGUAAUUUUCAUUAUAUAUAUUUUUUUACACUUUUAUUCUCACCAAGAGGAUAAUUUAAUGAAAAAUAUAAGUAGUUAUUAUUAAAUAAAGUGUUAAUUUCAUCUUUACUUUUCAUUUAAAUUAUUUUUAAAAUAUAUUCAGAAAUAUAACAUUUCUAAUUAUGAUAAUCUGAUUCUUGAAAAGGAAGCACGAGUAUGUCAAACAAACAUUUCUUAAUAUUUGUCUUUUCUUUAUUAUUGUUGUUUUCGUUGUUGGUUUUCUUGUGCCUCCAUUGGUUCUUCACCGCUGCUAGUCGCCGUUGUUGCUGUCGUGAGCCCACCGCUGCUUUUCACCAUUUCCUUCACGCACAAGCUUUUCACCAAGUCCGAAAAAGAAGCAUGAUGUUCCCAUUGACGAUCCUAUAGCUUCCUUAACUGCAGCUACUAAAGAGAUUAGUCAAAAUCCUAUGGACAUUGCCACUAUACAUAUAAAUGUCAGAUUUGAAGGAGUUGAAGGAGGGUCCAAUACAACGGCUAUGGUAGAAGUUGUCAUUUUAGACUGAAUGCAACACGACGGUCAAAUAGUCGCCUUCUUUGCUUGAAGAGAAUACUAUGCGCUAAAAUACAACAGUCAGAAAACUGUCGUUUUAACACUAAAAUAAUCAUUGUUUUUCACCUUUUUCCGCACCAGUGGUAAUUGGGCAUCUUCUGGACCCAACAUGCAACUUCAUACCAAGAAAGGUCUAAGCAAAAGGAAUUUUAUAUAUUAAAUAUUUUUUUAUUUAAAUAGGACAUUAAAUAAUUUAGGAUUUGUAAUUAUUUUAAAUUUUAAAUUUUUUAUAUAUUUUAAAAAUUUUAUAUAUUUUAAAUUUAAUUUAAAUAGGACAUUAAAUAAUUUAAGAUUUGUAUUUAUUUAGGAUUUUGAAUAUUUUAUAAAUUUUAUAUAUUUUAAAAAUUUAUUUAAAUAGGAUAUUAACUAAUUUAAUAUUUUUAUUUAUUUUAGAUUUUUGAAUAUUUUAGAAAAUUAUACAUUUUAGAUUUUUAUUUAAAUAUAACAUUAAAUAAUUUUUCUGACAAUCAUAAAUAUGUUUCGACAUAAUCCACAUUUUCCCAAAAAUAAUUCUUUAGACAUUAUUGAAAAUAAUAUUUUAGUUAAAAAUUAUUAUAAUCCACAAAUAAAUAAAUAAAAUUAAUUUUUCAACAAUUUUAAAUGAAAGGGUAAAUUUUUAAUUUUACAAAAAAUACAAUUUCAAUCACACCCAUCAUAUUCUUCAUAGUUUUCAUUGUAUUUACCUUAAUACAAUAAGAGUCUCCUUCACUUCCCACUUUCUCUUCAAAUUAUCUUAAAUUCACUCUCUCAAAUCCACUCCAUUAAAAAAAAAUAAAAAUCACAGUUUUUAAAAUAUCAAAUAUUAAAUAUAAAUUGGUCUCUUUUCAAAUGAUUUUAUUUUUAAAUAUUUUUUUAUUGGACAAUUCAAAUUUAGUGAACUUUUACACGUUUUAAAUAAAAUAUUUUAAUACCAUCGAAUUCAAUAAAUUACUUAAAUAUUAAAUAAUUAAUAAAAAAUAAAAAGAUUUAUAGUUAGUUUAUAUUAUUUUUCUAACAAAGUUCAUCGAAGUUUUCUUAAUUAAUAUUUAUUACAUUUUUUCUCUAUUAAACAUAGUUCAUGUUUACCACCACGAUGAUAUCAGUCAAGGUUACUGUUACACUAUAUAUGUUGAUGAUUGGUGGGUUUUCGUAGACUUUUUUGUUGUUGUUGUCCACUAAAAAUCCUCCCAAUUGAUAUUGAUAAAAACAAUGAGAUAAUGUUGAUCGAAAAGUUUUUAAAUAAAAUGGUAGUGAUGAACACAAGCAAUGAUUCUAUUCUAACAAUUUGGAUAGAAAAAAAAUGCUAUUUUGAGAAGUAAAUAUCACAUUCGACUAAAAAUUAUUUUUCCUUCCAUUUUUAAGAGUUGUAAUUACUGUAAUAUAAAGGAAAUGACCGAGGACUCAUUUGGAUAGCAGAAGAACUCACUAACAACAAUAACAAGGAAAACAGAAACAUCAAUAACAAAACCAUGCACUCAACAGUAAUUAUUUUAAGAAUUUCAAUUCUUAAAAUUAUUUAAUUUUAACCCUAUUUUUGUCAUAAAAUGUUAAAAAAGGCAGAGAAGCUUUUUAAAAGUAGACAUAAUGGAAGAAAGUACUCUCUUUUUAUUGAAUAAUAGAUGACUAUUAUAUAGCCAUUGCAGAAUAAAUAAGAAGCUAAACAUAUCAUAACUAUCAACAACUAACAAUGACAACACAAAUUGGGCAGAACUAACAAAUUCUAAAACUGCAUAAUAAUAGUUAUUUAUUUUGACUGAAGAUAAAACACCAACUUCUAUAAAUCUUAACAUAAAAGUGGUGGUCUCAAGGAGUGGGUGUGGUUUUCUGAGCUUUGGAAAGUUUGAUCUGGUUGAGUUCCCGAAUGAGUUCCUUCAUGUUGUUGUGUGAAGAGCCACCAUUUUGUAUAGCUCUCUUUGCAGCAUCGCUUAACGUCUUCGCUCUUCUCCUGAGUUCUUCACUCUCCUCGCUCAUCAUCACACCAAUCGCGUUUCCAAUGUCUUCUCGUUUCACAACUUCACUCCCAAACUGGUUCCAGUUUCUCCACUCUUUGGCCCCCACUGACACUCCAAUUUUCAGCACAUCCACCACCAGCUUCUCAUUGUAAAACUGCUCCGCAAACAGAGGCCACGUUACCAUCGGCAACCCCGCGUUCACGCUUUCCAUCAACGUGUUCCAACCACAGUGAGUAACCAAUCCUCCAAUCGCAGGAUUCUCUAGUAUCAGCAACUGCGGCGCCCAACCCCAUAUCAGAUACCCUUUCUUGCUUUCCUUCACUCUCUUCUCAAACUCUUCCAAAAAAAUUUCUCCUUCUUCAUCCCCGUUGUUUUUCCUCACCACCCAAAUGAAAUCUUUCCCUGAAUCUUCAAGCGCAUGCGCGAUUUCAACAAGUUGGGAGUACGGAAACCUGUUCAUGCUCCCAAAACUCACGUACAAAACAGAACUCUCUGCCUUAGUGUUGAGCCACUUAUGCCACCCUUCUUCUUCUUCAUCUUCCUCUUUAGCGUACCCUCGUGCAGCCUUGUCAGAAGCUUCCUGGUUCGCCCACAACGAAACCGGUCCAAUUCCCCAACUCUUGGUCCCCAUCACAACCUUGUAGUGCUCGUAGUAAGCACUCUCGAGGUCGUAGAAACUGUUGUAAAGAGAUCCGUAGCUCUUUUUUUCCGACUCCUUAAUCGUCUUCAUCAACUCCGUGUAUUGGUUCGGAGAUCUGACCCAAUCCGGCAACUGCAACCGCGUCAUCUCCAACCUAUCCGGCAAUCCAGGUAACACAAACCUGUCGCUGUCGGAUUUCGCCGCAAGAUGGGGUGCGUACUUCUCCACCGCGUGCGCAGCGGAGAGAGCGAGAUAAUUUAUGCAGUGAAACAUGAUCCUGGGAAUUCGGAGCUUGGCGGCGGCUUCGACAGUCCAAGGGUGGAACAUGUCGGUGACGAUGAAGUCUGGUCGGAGGUCGUGGAAGAGCUGUUCGAAGCAAGGUUGGAGAAUGGCGAGACCCAUGUAGAUUCUGGGGGCCAUCUCGGGAGGCGUGUCGACGUUGAACGCUUCGAUCCCCGGCGGAAGCCCCACUUGGGCGGCGGGGAAGUUAACCAAGUGCGUUCUGAUGGAGCGGCCGCGACUGGAGUCGAGGUCGACGGACUUCUGAAAAACGGUGGCGUUUCCCGGCGUGGUGAUUAUGGUAACGUCUAUGCCAUGAAUGGCGAAGAGCCUGGCCAUGUCCACCAGAGGAAUUAUGUGACUAGUUGACAGAAAAGGAAGGAAAACUGACUUUAGGUUUAGCUCACCCUCUUUCCCCAUUCUUAUGCUAAUUCUUAUUCUUCACAACAUAUUCUUCUUAUUCAUCCCUUCCUCUUAUUUAUAUGCUCGGGUUUUCACCCACCUUUUUUUUCAGUUUUCAUUAAAAUGGGAUAACUUUCAAAAAAAAAUUACAAAAAUUUGAACAAGUUUGAAUUUGUGUGAAGUUGACACGACUUCUCACACAUAAACCUUUAAAAUCGUGUCACGACACGAUUUUAUCCAUAUAUAUAUUAUUUUAUAUAUUUUUUAAAAUUUUCUUAUUUAGAUAUUGAAUAGUAAGUUAUGUAAUGUUUAAAAUUAAUUUGAUAGAUAAUUUUCUAAGGGUGUUAGUUUUAAGCAAUAAAAAAAAUGAAUAAUUGUGUAUGGAUCAUGUUUUACGGUAAUGUAAUAUAUUAAUUUGGUUAUUAGAUUAAUAAAAAAUAGGAAAAACAAAAAAAUGUUCAUAUUGCACAACCGAAUGUCACAAUAGAAGCAAUUGUCCGCACAAACAAACUUGAUAAUAAAAUUCAAUUUCAUGUUUGAUUAUUAAUUUCCUCAUUUUCUUUACCUAAGUAUUUAUUCUUUCAUAAAAAAAUUAUUUAUCAAAUUAAUUUCAAAUAUUACAUAACUUAUAAUUUUAAUUAUAAUUAAAUAAUUAUAAUAUAUAUAUAUAUAUUUAAAAACAAAAAAAAUUUUAAAAAAAAAUAAUGUGGACAAAGUUGUAUCAACUUGACACGAUUUCAAGUUGACGUAACAGAAAUCGUGCUAACUUGACACAACUUCAAACUGAUAUGACAAAGUUGUAUCAAUUUGGCACGACUUCAUAUGUAGAAGUCGUGCUAAGUUAACACGACUUGCUCCAGAUUUAUAAUUUUUUAACCGCGACCCAAUUUUGGUAAAAAAGAAAAAAAAGACCCCAUGAUAAAAAAAAAAAAAAAACCUAUAUCCUCUCAUUGUAAACACUGCAAUCUCUUCUUACAAACUAUCACGUUUAUUAAUUAAUAAGUAAACUUUUAACUCCAAUUCAAAAGUAACAAGAUAUGUCACUUCGUACUUAUGAAGCACGUGUCAAUCAAGGCCUUCUUUUAGAGUAUUAUAUUUUAUUCACCGUGUGCCUCGAGACUCUCGGGUACUUGGACCAUUCCCUCUAAGAAAGUUUUCUAAAAUCAUACAAAUAACAUACACUAAAAAAAUAAAUUUAUAAUCUUAUAUUUUUAUCCAUUAAAAAAUUAUAAUUUCAAUCACAUAUAUCACAUCAAUAACAAAUUUUUUAAUUUUUUUCCACAUUUUCCACUCUCUUUUCGUUGAUCUAAACAAUAUUUCUUUUACACUCUUCAAUCAUCUCUAUCGUAGAUUUUAAAAUAUUUAAAUAUAUUAAAUUGAUCUCUUUUUAAGUUAUUUUAUAUUUAAAUAUUUAAAUAUUCUGUAUUGAAUGGAUAAUUCAAAUUCAAUGAACUUUUAUAUUUUUAGAUAAAAUAUUUUAGUUACCAUCAAAUACAAUAAAUUAUUUAAAUGUUAAAUAAUUAUUAAAAAAAUUAAAGAUAUCUGUAGUUAGUUUAUAUUGUUUUUCUAUCAAAGUUCAUGGAAAUUUUCUUAAUUAAUAUCUAUUACAUUUUUUAUCUAUAAACAUAGUUCAUGUUGAUAUCAAUCAAGGUUACUUUUAUGUUGAUGAUUGGUGGGUUUUCGUAGACUGUUUUUUUUUUUCUCCGCUAAAAGAAUCCUCCCAAUUAAUAUUGAUAAAAACAAUGAGAUAAUGUUGGUCGAAAAGUUAUUUAAUGGUCAACAAAAACAGAUUCUAACAAUUUGGAUAGAAAAAGUUUAUUUUGAGAAGUAAAUAUCACAUUAGACUAAAAAUUAUUUUUCCUUUCAUCUUUGUAAUUAUUGUAAUAGGAAGAAAAUGACAUAUAUUAGAUGAUAAAUUUAUUUAUAUGUUAACCGAGAACAAUUAUCAUGAUACUGACAAGGUAUUGAUGAAUAUUGUGGUUGAUUCACGAAUCAGUGGAAGAUAUGGUAGAGGCAAAGGUCGCAGUUUUAAUGGACUAGGCGGAAGGGGAAAUAAUUCCCAUUUUUGUACGUAUUGUGGAAGAAAUAAUCAUAUAGUGGAUACAUGUUAUCAGAAACAUGGUUUUCCACGAGGUUACAAAUUCAAGCAAGGAGCAACAAAAUCUGCUCAUACGGCUGCAUCCGUUAAUUCUUAAGAAGAUGUUACUCCUUUCGAGGCUAAUCCACCCAAUUUUAACAUUCAGAUUUCUCAAGAACCGUACAACAGUUUAAUGGCUUUGAUCCAACAAUUAUCUUGUUAAACUCCUGCUUUGAAUCAUAUUUGUACGUCCCAAAUCAAUUCAGCCAAAUCAAGUAACUUUUCUAAUCAUUGAUUAUUAGACACAGGGCUACAGAUCAUAUAUGUUAUAAUAAAAAUAUUUUCUUCUCCAUUCAUAGUAUUUUGCAUGUCCUAGUCUCUUUACCUAACGAAAGUCAAUUAAGGGUUAACUAGUCUGGUACAACUCAAAUAUCUCCCUUACUCACUUUGACUGAUGUUUUGUAUGCAUCUUCAUUUCAUGUCAAAUUGAUUUAUAUUUCUAAAUUGACCACAAAUCACAAUUGUUUAACCAUUUUUCAACCUUUUAUUUCUUUCAUUAUUCAUACGUUGAUAUGUACAGCUGAGAGAUCACACAAACUUUAUCAAUUGAGGAAUUCUAGUAUCCAUCAGGUGUCACAAACAAAAAUUAGGAUGAGCAGACUUGAAAGUGAGAGUUCGUGUCUUCCAAAUAAGACUGCCGACAUCAACAAAUCUUGUGUAGAUAUUGAUAAUGCUAAACUUUGGCAUUUUCGUAUGGGACAUUUGUUUCAUGAUAGGUUGAAAAUUUUGUCUUCAUAUUACUCAAAUAUUUCCAUAGGUUCUAUUCAUCCUUGUGAUACAUGUCAUUUUGCUAAACAAAAACGACUAUAUUUUUCUUCUAGUCCUACUAAAUCAAAUUUUUUGAUUUGCUUCAUGCUGAUAUAUGGGGUCCUUUUAAUCAUGCUUCCUUUGAAGGGUAUAAGUAUUUUUUAACUCUUGUAGAUGAUUUUACCUGAUAUACAUGGAUUUGUUUAAUGAAAACUAAAGCUGAAACACGCACACAUUUACAAAAUUUCAUCAAUAUGAUUGAAAAUCAGUUUAAUAUUCAUUUGAAAGUAUUAAGAAGUGAUAAUGGUCCUGAGUUCCUUAUGACUGAUAUCUUUAAUAGAAAAGGGAUUGUUCAUCAAACUAGUUGUGUGGAAACUCCACAACAGAAUAAUGUUGUUGAACGCAAACAUCAACAUAUUUUGAAUGUCGCUCGUGCACUGAUUUUUCAGUCUCAAUUACCUCUUUGAUUUUGGUCAUAUGUUGUCAAGCACUCUGUUCAUUUAAUUAAUAAAACUCCUACUCCUCUUUUACAUGAUAAAUCACCAUAUCAAAUGGUUUAUAAUUACAUACCAAAUUUAUCUCAUAUAAAUUUUUUUGAUUGUUUGGAUUUCGCUACUACUAGUAGUGUUCAAAGAACAAAGCUUAAUUAUAGAGCUAGAAAAUGUGUUUUUCUCGGUUACAAAGAUGGGGUAAAAAGUUUUACUCUUUUUUAUAUGAAUCAGAAAAAUAUUUUUGUGACACGUGAUGUUAUUUUUUAUGAAAAACAUUUUCCUUUUUAUAAGGAUAACAUAGAUACCAAUUUGGACACACAUGAUAUGUUUAAGCAUUUGCUUCCUUCUGUUUCUGAUAAUGAUAUUGUUGUGCCUAACUACAUCUGUUAGUGAUAUUGUUUCUUCAGUUUUUGAAACUAUAUUACCAUCCUGCCUUCCUGCUAUUGAUUCUUCUACACCACUACAUUUAAUUGAUAUUGAUGUCUUGCAACACCAACAUUCUGAUCCACAACCUUCAUCUAUUUGAGUUUCUACUCGCUCAAACAAAAACCUGGAUACUUGAAGGACUACCACACUACUUUCUUCUCUUCAAAAGAUGUUAUCAAUCAUUCUUUAGGUACUAAAUAUCCUAUUCAAAAGUAUCCCUCUUAACAUAAUUGUUCUCCUAUAUAUUCUUCUUUUUGUCAUAAUAUUUCUUCUAUCUAAGAACCUAAAUCAUUUAAAGAGGUGAUGCAACAUGAUUAUUGAAAAGGAGCUAUGCAACGUGAACUUGAUGUUCUUUAGUCUAAUGAAACAUGGCAUUUGAUGGAUUUGCCUCUUGGAAAGCAUCCUAUUGGGUGUAAAUGGGUUUUCAAAGCCAAGCAUAAACCAAACGGUGUCAUUAGGUACAAGACUCAUUUGGUUGCCAAAGGAUAUACUCAGACCGAAGGUAUUGAGUAUUUUGAGACUUUGUCUCCGAUAGUUAAAAUUACUACCAUUCGAUUUAUUUUUUCUUUAGCAAGUGCUAAGGGAUGGAUUCUUCAUCAACUAGAUGUGAAUAAUGUUUUUCUUCAUGGCGAUCUUGAUGAAUAAAUUUACAUGACUCCUCCCACAAAUCUUACUCUCUCUCAUCCAACGCAAGUUUGUAAACUUAGAAAAUCUUUAUAUGGACUAAAGCAGGCGAGUCGACAAUAGACUCAAAACUAACUCAGACUAUAAUACAACUUGGUUAUGUUCAAAGUACAACUGAUAAUUCUUUAUUUAUUCGCACAGACAAUCAUUAUUUCACCGCUCUGUUGAUAUAUGUUGACGACAUUAUGUUGGUUGACAAUAAUCUUCAAGAAAUCCAACUUGUUAAAACUCAUCUUCAUAACUCAUUUAGUAUCAAAGAUCUCGGUACUCUUCGCUAUUUCUUGGGAUUUGAGAUAAGUCGUUCACCUUCUAGUAUUAUUCUCAAUCAACAAAAAUAUUAUUUAGAUCUUUUUCUGAUAGUGGUUUAUUGGCUUGUAAACUCGCAUCUUCUACCAUGGAACCAUCUUAUCCUUUCUCCGGAGCUGAAGGUUCAUUACUUUUGAAUCUAGGUGAAUAUAGAAGAUUGACUGGGCGUUUUUUAUAUAUACCUUACUCACUUUAGGCCUGAUAUCAAUUUUGCGGUUCAUAAACUCAGUUAGUUUAUUUCAAAUCCACGAGAACCUCAUAUGACAGCAACUCUUCGUGUAUUACAAUAUUAUAAAAGGAUGUCUUGGUCUUGGUCUAUUCUUUUCCAGUACUAAUCAAAUUGUUAUUAAAACUUUUUCUGAUUCAAAUUAGGGAACUUGCAUUGAUUCUAAAAGGUUUAUCACUAGUUAUUGUGUAUUUAUGGGAAACUCUUUAAUUUCAUGGAAGUCUAAAAAGUAGUCUACAGUGUCCAUAUCUUCUUCAGAGGGUGAAUAUAGAGCACUAGCUUCACUUGUUUGUGAACUUCAAUGGUUACAAUAUUUGUGUCAUGAUUUGCAUACUAAUAUUUCUGAAUCGUUUGUUAUCUAUUGUGACAAUAAAUCUGCUAUAUGCAUAGCAAAGAAUCCCAUGUUUCAUGAGAGGACGAAACAUAUUGAAAUUGAUUGUCAUUUCUUUCGGACUAAACUUCAAGAAGGUCUCAUUCAUUGAAUCUCAGUUUCUUCCACAAAACAAGUGACUGAUAUGUUGACCGAACCUCUCCACGAACAUGAAAUAUAUACAUGAUACAACUUGUGGGGCGCUAUUAGAUGAUAUAAUAUCUUAGAUUUUGAAUUUUAGCUACUCUUUCAGUUAUCAUUUGUAACCACUACGCCAAAAAUUUGAAUUAGCUGCAAAAAAAAUCAAAGGUGGUAUGUGGACUCUAAAUUUAGUCAACUAAGCCUUCACUAUUUAAAAAAAGCGUGGGAAAGCAUGGGAAAGCGUGGGUUAUACCCACGUAAAUUUUAAAAAUAAAAAUAAAAAAAUGGUUGUGUGGGUAAAACGGUCACUACCAAAAAUAUAAAUAAUAAUAAUAAUUUAACAAUUUGAAAGUUAAGCCCACGCUAUCUAUUUUAGAAUUAAUUUUAAAUAAAUAAAGAAAUUGUGUAGGUUAAACUCACACUAUCUAUUUUAAAAUUAAUUUUAAAUAAAUAAAGAAAAUGUGAAGGUUAAGUCUAUGCAAAGAAUUAAGUUUAAUUUAUUUGAAAUGUGCUCAGGGGCGUGGAGAAAAGAGUGAAAGCAUUUUGAAGUUUUCAUCGAAGUCGUCAAGUGCGACCUUGAGCAGAAUAGAGCGUGGGAAGAGUUUGUGAGAACGCGAGAAUAUGUGCGACCGUGAGAACGCGAGAUCACCUGAACGCGUGCGACCAUGUGAACUUGAGAACGAGAGUACGCGACCGUGAUGGAGUAGUCGAGAGCGUUACUAAAAUCGUGAAGAAUAACCCUAUGUUUUAUUCCGAUUUCUUUCUUUCUGUGUGUAAUUUUAUUUUUGAAGGUGUAGCCCUAACGAUUUCAUAAUGAUUUUAUUUUCUCAUCGAGUAAUAAAUAAACAAUAAAAUGAGGUUUUGAUAGGAAAGAUCUAUAUUAUCUCAUCACACUAAAAUGAAAACAAAGCUAUGUUCAAGGGGUUAUGUGAUUGAUAACAAAAAAAACCUAUGCUAAAUGAAAACAGAGACAAGCUGCCUCUAUUAUUUUAAUGCAUGAUGAGCUUUACAUCACACGCCAGAUUCUCUAUUAAUUAAUCACAUUUUGCUUUGGUCCAGCUCUUGUUUUAGUUAAAUCAUUUAAGUGCAACCAUUUCUAUCAAAGUUUUAUUUUGUUAAAUCAUUUAGGUGCAGCCAUAUUUUUCUACCUAUGACAAGUACUGUAUAUUUUUUAUUGUUAAAUCAUCAAAGUCCAAUACUGUCACAGCUGGCAAAUACUGUCACAAGGUGUCAAAACUGUAGCAUUUUAUUUCUUAUGUGUAGUGUGCGCUAGACAGAAAAAAAAUUAAAAUAUAAUUUUAUGUGGUUAAUGUGAAGGCUUAAUCCAUGUUUUUUUUUAAAAAAUUGUGGGCAAAACAUGUAUGUUAAGUGCUGGGAUGCUUAAAAAUUAUGUGGAUCCCAUAUUUUAGUAUAAAAAUAUAUUUUGUGUGGGUAACAUGUAGGCUAACUACACGUGUUUUUUUAAAUUGUGUGGCAAAUGGAUAGACUAAGCCCAUGCUUCUUUAGAUGACAAUAUAAAUAUAAUUUUGUGGGGCGCAUGUGAAGGCUAAGCUCAAGCAUAUUUAAAAAUUGUGUGGUCAUUGUGUUGGCUUAGUCCACGCUUUUUUCAAUAAAAAAAUAUAUAAUAUAAUUUUGUGUGUGAAGCAUGUAGACUAGACCUUACAAAAAAUGGUAUUCCACGCAUCUCUACUACUUUUUACGUUAAAUAUAUUAGCUUCCAAAUUUAAAUAAACUCUAACCACACAAUAAUUAAAUUUUUGCGAACAUUUCUCAUGCAUAAUAUCCGUUUUGGUACAUUCUAAUAAUAAAUGUAUUUCUUGUAGUGAAGUGUUAAAUUUCUAAAUUAGAUGUAUAAAAGUAAUACCACACCAUAAGAGGGCUCAUUUGGAUAAGAGAACAACUCAUAUUCUCAACCAUAACAAAGCCAUCUACUCAGAGUAAUUUUUUAAGAAUUUCAAUUCUUAAAAUUAUUUAAUUUUAGCCUAUUUUCUCAUAAAAGUGGUGGUCUCAAGGAGUGGAUGAGGUUUGGUGAGCUUUGGAAAGUUUGAUCUGGUUGAGUUCCCGAAUGAGUUCCUUCAUGUUGUUGUGCGAAGAGCCACCAUUUUGUAUAGCCCUCUUUGCAGCAUCGCUUAACGUCUUCGCUCUUCUCCUCAGUUCUUCACUCUCCUCGCUCAUCAUCACACCAAUCGCGUUUCCAAUGUCUUCUCGUUUCACAACUUCACUCCCAAACUGGUUCCAGUUUCUCCACUCUUUGGCCCCCACUGACACUCCAAUUUUCAGCACAUCCACCACCAGCUUCUCAUUGUAAAACUGCUCCGCAAACAGAGGCCACGUCACCAUCGGCAACCCCGCGUUCACGCUUUCCACCACCGUGUUCCAACCACAGUGAGUAACCAAUCCUCCAAUCGCAGGAUUCUCUAGUAUCAGCAAUUGCGGCGCCCAACCCCAUAUCAGGUACCCUUUCUUGCUUUCCUUCACUUUCUUCUCAAACUCUUCCAAAAACUUUUCUCCUUCUCCAACCCCAUCGUUUUUCCUCACCACCCAAAUGAAAUCUUUCCCUGAAUCUUCAAGCGCAUGCGCGAUUUCAACAAGUUGGGAGUACGGAAACUUGUUCAUGCUCCCAAAACUCACAUACAAAACAGAACUCUUUGCCUUAGUGUUGAGCCACUUAUGCCACCCUUCUUCUUCUUCUUCGUCUUCCUCUUUAGCGUACCCUCGUGCAGCCUUAUCCGAAGCAUCCUGGUUCGCCCACAACGAAACCGGUCCAAUUCCCCAACUCUUGGUCCCCAUCACGCCCUUGUAGUGCUCGUAGUAAGCACUCUCGAGGUCGUAGAAACUGUUGAACAGAGAUCCGUAGCUCUUUUUUUCCGACUCCUUAAUCGUCUUCAUCAACUCCGUGUACUGGUUCGGAGAUCUGAGCCAAUCCGGCAACUGCAACCGCGUCAUCUCCAACCUUUCGGGCAACCCAGGUAACACAAACCUGUCGCUGUCGGAUUUCGCCGCAAGAUGGGGUGCGUACUGCUCCACCGCGUGCGCAGCGGAGCGAGCGAGAUAACUUGCGCCGUGAAACAUGAUCCUGGGAAUUCGGAGCUUGGCGGCGGCUUCGACAGUCCAAGGAUGGAACAUGUCGGUGACGAUGAAGUCUGGUCGGAGGUCGUGGAAGAGCUGUUCGAAGCAAGGUUGGAGAAUGGCGAGACCCAUGUAGAUUCUGGGGGCCAUCUCGGGAGGCGUGUCGACGUUGAACGCUUCGAUCCCCGGCGGAAGCCCCACUUGGGCGGCGGGGAAGUUAACCAAGUGCGUUCUGAUGGAGCGGCCGCGACUGGAAUCGAGGUCGACGGACUUCUGAAAAACGGUGGCGUUUCCCGGCGUGGUGAUUAUGGUAACGUCUAUGCCAUGAAUGGCGAAGAGCCUGGCCAUGUCCACCAGAGGAAUUAUGUGACUAGUUGACAGAAAAGGAAGGAAAACUGACUUUAGGUUUAGCUCACCCUCUUUCCCCAUUCUUAUGCUAAUUCUUAUUCUUCACGACAUAUUCUUCUUCUUCAUCCCUUCUUCCUAUUUAUAUACUCUCAUUCUAAACAGUGCAAUCUCUUCUUAAGAGAAAAAAAAAAAAUUAUGAUUUUACUAAUUAUAGGGGAUGGAUUUAUAUGAUGAGAUUAAUGAUUGCACGAUUAAACAUAGUUAUGCUGAAGCUGUGAAGCACGAGUGAAUCGAGGCUUUCUUUUAGAAUAUUAUAUGUCACCGUGUGCCUCGAGCCUCUAAUGGGUACUUGGGCCUUUACUUGGGUUAAAUUUUCCUGUUUUGGUGAACACCACCAUUUUUAAAAUACUGAGCAUAUCAUAACCAUGUGCUGUAAUCAUAUGCGUGUAGAUGUAGAUGAUGGUGGCUCUGACAAAAUAGAU
rnacentral:lncRNA from 1 species